rnacentral:lncRNA from 1 species
AGAGUUGAGAUGGUUGUGCUGGCAUGGAUUCCCUUUCAAGUACAUGCCGGAGCACCUUCUUAAUCAGCCAAAACUUGUUGCUCUUGACCUACGGUUCAGCAAACUCAGAAAAGGCUGGAAGAAUUCCAAGGUACAAUCACCCCUAGCGUCUGAUUUUAUUUUUUAAGCUAUAUUCUUCUUGGAUUUUGAAUAAUAUUUUCUUUUGGGUUUGUGCAGCCGCUCGAAAAUUUGAAAAUCCUUGAUUUCAGUGAAUCCCCUCGGUUAAAAAAGUCACCAGACUUCUCAAGGCUCCCAAAUCUCAGAUAAUUGGAUUUUUUCCGCUGUUCUAGUUUGUCCAAGAUUCACCCAUCCAUCGGUCGACUUCAAAAGCUCACUUUGGUAAAUUUUGAAUUCUGCUAUAAGCUUAGGUAUCUUCCAGGGGAAUUCUGCAAGCUGAAAUCUGUUGAGACUCUUCGUCUGUCGCAUUGUGCAUUAAGAGAACUGCCUGAGGGCUUAAGGGAGAUGGUAUCAUUGAGACAACUUGACGCAACUGGUACAGCCAUUAAACAAUUCCCCAACGACCUUGGGAAUCUAAUUUCUUUACAAACGUUGAAUCUUAUAGACAAUAGUUGUCGUAGCCUACCUAGCCUCAGUGGUCUUUCAAAUCUCAAAUAUUUGGUGUUAACUAUGUGCAAGAAUCUUCGUGCAAUCCCCGGUUUACCAACAAAUUUGGUAUUCUUGAGAGCUGAUCUCUGCCCUGCAUUGGAAACAAUGCCAGACUUUUUGCAAAUGUCAAACAUGAUAGAACUGUGUCUAAAUAAUUCACCCAAAGUCAGACCAGGUUUAGGCUUGGGUAAAUCAUUAAACUCCAUGGCAGAGCUUUAUAUGCACGAGUGCACCAAUCUCACAGCUGAGUUUAGGAACAACAUCCUACAGGUCUUUCUCUUUCUCCAUCUUUGUCUCCUCCUACUCGUCUUUUCUAUCAAUCACACACACAAACACAACCACAUGUACAAGUAUUUGACACUAUAUAACAUUGUAUGUAUAUAGGGAUGGACUUCUUGCGGAGUUGGUGGUAUUUUUCUAAAUGGGAUUUAUGAUAUUCCGGAGUGGUUUAACUUUGUCGCUGACGGCAAUAAAGUCAGUUUUGAUGUUCCUCAAUGUGAUGGUCGUAAUUUUACAGGGUUGACACUCUGCUGGGUUUGCUCGCAAUACCAAUUUGGAAUUGUUACCUUUACUGUUGUAAAUUGUACCAAGCAUACUACUUCGAGGGUCUCUAGGCAUUUCGGGGGAUCAAAAGAGAAUUGUUUUUGGCAGGACAAUUAUCGAACGAUAAGCUGAAGCUCAAUUUGCAAGGCGGGGACAAGAUUGUUAUUCUUUUAGAGGGUUCUUAUUCUAAUAUAGCGAAGAAAACUGGGGUAAAUCUAGUAUGGGACAAACCUUUGAAGGAAAACAAGCAUAUUAUUGUUGGGGAUGAUGAUUACUAUGAAUAUGAAUCUGAAGCAGUUCCGGAUUGGUUGUAUGCUGAGUCAAGUCCAGGACCAAGCCAUGGCGCAUCUGAUAAUCAUCCCACUAAUCAAAUGACGACUACUACAGAUGAACCCAAACGGAAAAGGCAAAAGGUUUGAAGAGAGAGCAUUGCCAGAUCGGUUGAAUAGUUGCUAUUCCUGCAUUAUACUCUCCCACAGACCAUGUCAGCUGUCUUUCUCGUUUUCCCAGCUCCAUUAUUCGGGCAUUUGAUUUGAUCGUAUCCAACAGAUGAUAUGUUCCUCAUUUUACUGACAAUUCGUUUGCGAUAUUGACUGGUUGUUCAGUUGUUAAUUGUUUUAUGCUUUCCAAAUAUUCAUAUUCUCUAGUGGAACCAAAUUAUUAGCAUCAUACUGACAUACUUCGACUUUUUCGGUCUUAAAUCAAAAUUUUAGAUUGAAAUGUACAGUUACUGACCAUGGAUGCAAACAUAUAGCAAUCGGGACUAUAAUCUCACUUGGAACCCUUUCUAUCAACUCAUCUGCUUCGUUUAACAGUCUAGCACAGCCAAGAAGGUCGAUUAGGCAACCAUAGUGUUCUAAUCUUGCUCAAUCUCAUAUAUCUUUCCUUUGGAGUUGAGGAACUCACAACCCUCAUCUACCAACCCUCUGUGAAAACAGUCAGUUAAGACAACAAUGAAGGUGAAAUCAUCAGGCUUCAUGCCAAUCUGUACCAUUUUUGAGAACUCGAUUCCUUUGCUUGUCUUGCCAUUCCUUGCAAGCCCAUAAAUGAUUGAAGUCCAAAUAUUUGUCUAUGAUCCAACAUUUUGCAUACAUUUCUAUAACCACGGUACCAACAACAACUUCAUCAAUUUUUAAUUCUGUUAUAUUCGAUAUACCCGUGAAUCCAUUCCCCUUGCUCUAAUGCUCCCAACGGAGCACAGCCUGUGAGGAGAGCAAUCGCUGUAAAUUUAUCCCCUUUUAACUCUUUUAGUUUGCAUCUCUUGGAAUACCGCCUCGUUAAAACGAUUGUAUUGUAUACCUAUUAAAAAUUCUCUGGCCUUCAAUCAAAUAACCACGUUUUACAUACAUAUUCAACAACCACAUUUCCAGUUCUAGUAGUGAAUCCAAGUUUACUUCUAACAUAUUCAUGAAUUUCUUUACCAAGCUCCAAAGUUUUCGAUGCUGUGCAAGCUGAAAUGGUGGUUACAACCGUAGCUUCAUCAAGCUUCUCGUUGCUUUCACAUGACAUCCUCCGAAACAUAUCCAAAGCCUCCUCAAACCUCCUGCACCUAACAUACCUCGAAAUCGUAACGUUCCAACAAAGCCUGUUUCUCUCAGGUAUUUCAUCAAACACCUGCUUGAAACUCUCAACCAUGCCCAAUUACGCAUACAUGUCACUGAGCGAGUUACACACAUACCAUCAAACCCAAUUCCAGUUUUUACCACAAACACAUGAACCUUUUCACCUUCCCGAAGCUCUCUCAAGCAUCCAAUGGCUUUAAAACAAACGGGUAGGUAAAAUUAUAGGGGCACAAUCCCUCCUCCCUCAGCCGUCAGAAGAGCUCAACGGCGCUUCUGAAACUACUCCUUUGGGCAAACGCCUUGAUCAUUACAUCGUAAACAAACAAGCACGGAUCUUUGAUGAAACGGAAGACUUUCUCGGCUUAAUCAAAGUUUCCGAGAGAUGGGUUGGUGCAGAAAAUCAUGAGCUUGUUAACGGCGGCUCUGUCUUGGUUGCAGGAGGUUGAGAAGGAGAUUGGUUUUUUUUUUAUUGGUUUACAAGGAAGUUCAUUUGAACCUAAAGUUCAUACGCACAUCCUCUCCACUAGAAGGUUGAGAGCUGAUUUCGUGAACUUCUUAACGUAAAAUUCAUAUGCGUUGAAAUCAUAAAUGUAUUUUUCUUUCUAAUUAUAGAAAGUUUGGAAUGUCAAAUUAGAUUUUUGGAGUGUUAAUAGCAAUUACUUGUUUUUUUUAUACAUCGGUAUUUUUAUAGUAGGGGGAGGGAAGUUCGGUCAAGCUACACAAUGGAUAACUUAAUUUGGUAUCAAAUCCGUCAUCCACAAGAUUCAAAUCUAAGACCUCUCACUUCCAAAUAAAGAAUAAUACCACUAGAUUGUAGUACUGAGUUGAUUGAGUUUUAGUUAGGCUGUGAGAUCAAAUCUAUAUAGUUUUUAUAGAAAAGCAUACUCGAGUUAUUUGAGGAAAACCUGGAAAUGUUAAACAAAUUUACAAAUCUGUAUACUUUUUAUGGAAAAGCAUACUUGAGUUAUUUGAGGAAAAGUUAAACGAAUUUACAAAUUAUCUUUUCAUUGUUGUCCUAUUUUUUUAGGCUUCAAUUUCCCAUUAAAUAACUACGAGGCUUCAAUUUCCUUUUAAAUAAUUACGAGGGUGAAUUCAAUUGAGAUUUUGAGAUAUUUUAAUAGAUUUAUAAAUUUAUGGAUUUUGAUGGAGUUUAAUUGAUUUGUUGAGAUUCAAUGUAACAUUUUGAUUCAAUUUCUUCGAAAUCUCAAAGGUUGUGUUGAGAUUUGUGAAUGUUUAAAAUACACUACGAAAUCUCAAAGGUUUUUUUUUUUUAAUUAUUAUUAUUAUUAUUAUUUUUUAAUAUCGAUGUACAAAAAAAAAAAAAAAAUUAACUUUUACAUAUUCUAAAGAAUACGUGUGCUACAUAUUGACAGCAAAAGUGUGCCUUCUUCUAGGGUUAGAAUUGAGAGCAAUCUUUGUGAGGCUUUAGCAGUCUAAGGCCAUCUCUAACCGAGGGCUGGCCAGAAGGCUCGUUUUAGCCCUCUGGCCCUCUAAGAUUCCCCAAGAUAUUAAUAUUUUAAUGAACAAUACAUGGCCAUAUUUGCCUCCAUCUCCAACCGAGGGCCAAAGGGCCAGAGGGCUCGUUUUAGCCCUGUCACAAAAAAACCGUCUCCAACCAAGGGCCAAAAGGGCCAUAGGGCCAAACAUAAUUUUAAAAUGCGCCAACUUUGAGGAAGAAGGUUCUAUGCAUCCUUUACUUGUGAGGAAGAUCAUAUCAUUCAUGAGUGUGAAACAAAGGGCCAUAAACCCUAACAAUCAUAUCAUAUCAUUCAUGAGUGUGAAACAAAGUUCUACAUCCUUUACUUGUGAGGAAGAUCAUAUGCGUCAACCUUGUUCAUAAAAAAAGACAAAGGACAUCAUGCUACAAGAAUAAAAGUAUAAUGGAGAAUUUAGGAUUGGUUUGACAUUGCUGAAAUUAUUUUAAAAGUAGUUCUUUUAAAAAAAGCUAGAGCUAAAAUUGUGUUUGGUAAAUGAGCAAAAAAAAGUGUGUUUUGUCAAUAUCAUGGGUUCAAAACAGCAAAAAACAAAAGCAACUCUACCCCUACUUCUGAAAACGUUUUUUUUUUUUUUAUCAUAGCACAACAACCCAAACUAGCCCUUAAUUGUAGUAAGCGUCUGUCUUGUAUAAGUUAUUUUUCCUUCAUGGAUCAUGAUUACCGAGUUGUGUGAUCUGAGGUUUUUCUCUUUCAUUUGUUAAAGAGUUUUUCCGUCGUAAAAUUCUUUGUGUUCUCUGUUUUGAUUUCUUGUUAUUUCUGACGACACUUAAGUUUGAUCCAUCAAAGUUAUGUUUUCAGUUUGUGAAGAAAAUAGCGGGAAAAUAACCUGAAAAUUUGACCGUUGAGGUGGAUGUGCAUUUCGUUUUUUAGCUUUUGCAAUUGAAACUUAUCUGGUCCUGAAAGCAAAUGUUCGGCCUAAGUUGGGCUGAAAGAAUGGACAUUAUUGAGAUGCUCUACGUACGAAUACGUACUCAAUAUAACCACCAUAAAAUACCAUCUUCCUUACUCGUAGAAUGGCCUAUUUGAUCCACCAAGGGGAUACCAUUUGGGUCGUUGUUGACUAAUUGAAUUGUGUAUCACCACUUAAAAGGGAAGGACUCGCGUUCACUUUUAGAACAUCAUUAUGAUUUUCGAGUCAAUAUUGCAAUGUCGCGUAUAAAUCUUUUUACAUAUGAUAUCACAAUAUUAAUUUGAAAUAUUAGCACAGUAAAAAAAUUCGACAUGGGCAAGUCCUCUACUUCAAAAGUCCAUCACAUCAUCUGAUUUGACAAAUGCACAAUCAUAUGUGUCAUGUAUCCUAAAAUCUAUUAUGUCAAGUACACAAUUUGAUUGGUGCCCUAACUUUGAAACUUUUAACAAAUGAUUGAUGUCCAAAGACUUGUCUAUGCUCCCACAUUUUGCAUACAUUUCUAUAACCGCGGUACCAACAUCUGCAUCAGUUUUAAUUCUGCUAUAUUCGAUAUACCUGUGAAUCCAUUCCCCUUGCUCUAAUGCUCCCAACCGAGCACAGCCUGUGAAGAGCAACCGCUGUAAAUUUAUCCCCUUUAACAUUUUAGUUUGCAUCUCUUGGAAUAGAGCCUCCGCCUCGUUAAGACUAACUCCAACCCUUGAAGUAAGUCUCAAAAUUUUCCUUCUAUUCCUCCCAUUUUAUUCCAAGUCUUGUGCUAAUAUAAAAUUAAGAGUUAAAACUAAAAAAAAAAAGCGAAAUUUCGGCUAAUAUUUGAGUUUGGGUUAGUGGUGUAGCCCAUUUGUGUGAGUGGAAGUCUGGUUUUGAAAGCCAAACGCUUAAGUUUGACGCACGCACGAAAAGGAACGAGCCAUGCGUUGUAGAGGACCCACCCACACGGGCUUGUCGCCCACUUGCCUAUUUCAUUGGUGAGCCUAACGGCUCUUUUAUGUAAUCUAAUGGCAUAUAUUCAAAUGGGCUGUUGAUAUCCAUCCGUCCAUAUUUAAUUGAUUUAAUGUUAUUUAUUUUUUAAAUUUAUUGAAUUCAAAUGCCUAACGGCUCUCUGUUCUAGCUUGUUAGCUGUGAUAAACAAGUUUGCCAUUACCAAAUUCAACUACCCUGGCCUCCUGACUGCAUUGUAGUACCUUACAUCUGUUGAAUUGUGGCCAAGUGGCCAUCACCUUUCCUAAUAAACAAACCAAAAGAAAAAAAGUGAAAGACAUCAUGAUUAUGUUUGUUGAAAAGAAAAAAGGAAAGUCAUGAUGAUGUUUGUAAAGUAAUCAUUAUGUCUUUACUUUAGUUUUGUUUAUUAGUUGUUUUAGGAUGGAUGAAUAUUAGCAUACGGAAGUGAGAAAGAGAGAGGAAGAAGAGUGCACCAUUUUCUGUUUUAGUAGUCCAUCUUUGAGAGAGUAAAGAGAGUUGCAGAGAGCAGAAAACUGAGAGCAGAAAAGAAGAAGAAGGUGCUCUUUUUUUUGGUCAGCAAUCAUCCAUCAUAGUUGUUGUUGUAAUAGCUUUGAGCUAUAUGUAUAGAGAAGAAAUUAUUCAUUAUAUUUCUUCCUCUAUUUGUUUCUUUGGUGUGUGAGAGUUAUUGGGUGUAUUGGAUUAUUUGGGUUGUGAGAUUGCCAACACUUUGUAAACUCCCAUUUGGAUGAUAGUGGAUUAUUGGGUGAGCUCCUACUGCUCUGAGGACGUACUCCAGUUACACUGACUGUGGAGGAACCUUGUUAAAAUCUUGGUGUUAUUUUCUUUAAUAUUUUGUUCUUGCAUUUUCAUUUGAUAUAUUUUCUGUGGGUUAGCUUAAUUUGGUUCCGCGUGGUUUGGUGUUAUCCUAGCACAACAAUUGGUAUCAGAGCACUGGUUGCUCUUGGGUACUGUCUAGUUGCCAAAGAUGUCAGACGGGCAAGAAGAGAAUCAUUUUGGAAGCAGCUCCGGGUUUGCAAGAACUACGGUGCAAAAUGCAAAGUUCGAAGUGGAAAAGUUUGAUGGCACAAACAACUUCGGGAUGUGGCAAUGUGAGGUCAAGGAUGUGUUGGCUCAACAAGAUCUACUUGCCGCUUUGGGAGAGAAGCCGGAAGCUAUGUCGAAGCCGGAAUGGGAAAAAUUAAAUUUGUGGGCUUGCUCUUCAAUUCGGUUGUGCCUUGCAAAAACUCAGAAGUAUUUUGUGAUGCGGGAGACAUUAGCAAGUGUGUUGUGGCAAAAAUUGGAAGACAAGUAUAUGACAAAGAGUGCAGAGAACCGGCUACACUUGAAGAAAAAGCUCUACCGCUUCCAAUACAAAGAAGGUACAAAAAUGAUUAGACACCUUGAUGCUUUUAAUAAGUUGAUUGCUGACUUGUUAAAUUUAGAUGAGGAUAUUAAGGAUGAAGAUAAGGCCUUAAUAUUGUUGAAUUCAUUGCCGGACUCUUAUGAGCAUUUUGUUACCACUAUUAUGCAUGGUAAAGAAACUGUGAAAAUUUGAAGAUGUGUCAAAUGCCUUGAUGAAUUAUGAAAUGAGGCAUAGAGAUAAAAAUUAUGAUAGUACCUCUGAAGCUUUAUUUGUUAGAGGUAGAUCAUCGGAGAGAAGAUCAUCUUCUAGUAGGAAAAAAUCACAGUCUCGACCUAGAGGAAACUCUAAAGGUAGAAAACCUUUGGAAAUGGAUGAAUGUGCCUUUUGUCAUAAUAAGGGCCAUUGGAAGAAAGAUUGUCCUAAAUUGAAAACCAAAGGCAAAGAAAGUUCUGAAGCUAAUGUUGCUGAGGUUGAAACAGAUUUUUCUGAUUUUGCUUUAACCACUUCCUCAUCAUUUGAUUGUGCUACUAAGUGGGUGUUGGAUACGGGUUGUACUCAUCAUAUGACUCCUCACAAGAAUUGGUUUUCAAGCUUGAAAGAGUUUGAUGGUGGCGUUGUGUUCAUGGGAGAUGACAAUCCUUGCACAACAAAAGGGAUUGGUACAGUUCGUUUGAAGUUGCAUGAUGGCAUGGUUAAAGAGUUGACAGGUGUUCGGUAUGUACCGAAUUUGAAGAAAAAUCUUAUUUCUUUGGGUACUUUGGAAUCUAAGGGUUUCAGGUUUCAUUCAGAUGGACAGACAUUGAAAGUUACUUAUGGUGCACUUGUUGUGAUGAAAGCUCCUAGAUGUGGCCAUUUGUAUUUAUUGCAGGGAAGCACUGUGACAGGUGAAGCAUCUCUAGUCUCAGCAAAUAUGGGCACAUCUGAUUCAGAUACUACUAGACUGUGGCAUAUGAGAUUAGGCCAUGCCGGUAAGAAAGCUCUACAAGGGUUUGUGAAAAAAGAUCUUCUAAAAGGUGCCACGACUUGUAAACUUGAUUUUUGCGAGCAUGUGUCUUGGGGAAGCAAACUAGAGUGAAGUUUGGUACUGCUGUACAUCAGACGAAGGGCAUUCUUGAUUAUGUGCAUUCGGAUGUUUGGGGUCCUACAAAGACUCCCUCUUUGAGUGGUAGACAUUGGUUCGUGACCUUUGUUGAUGAUUAUUCAAGAAGGUCUUGGGUUUACACUAUGAAGCACAAGAGUGAGGUAUUGAGCAUUUUCUUGAGUUGGAAGAAAAUGGUUGAGAACCAGACUGGGAGAAAGAUUAAGAUUUUGAGAUCGGAUAAUGGUGGUGAAUACACAUCCGACCCUUUCUUUAAAGUUUGCAAAGAGGAAGGAAUUGUGAGACAUUUCAGUGUCAAGGGAACUCGACAACAAAAUGGAGUUGCAGAAAGAUUGAAUCGAACCUUGCUUGAAAAGGUUAGAUGUAUGUUGUCUCAGUUGGGUUUAAGCAAGUCAUUUUGGGCAGAGGCAGUUAAUUAUGCAUGUCACAUCAUCAACCGGUUACCCUCAUCUGCUGUUCAGGGUAAGACACCAAUGGAGGUAUGGACUGGAAAACCUUCUUCUGAUUAUGACUAUAUCCGUAUUUUUGGUUCACCUGCUUAUUUUCAUGUGACUGAAAAUAAACUUGAUCCUAGAGCCAAAAGGGCUAUCUUUCUUGGUUUUAGUAGUGGUGUCAAAGGUUACAGGUUGUGGUGCCCAGAGAUGAAUAAACUUGUAAUCAGUAGAGAUGUGACAUUUGAUGAAGAAAGUAUGUUCAAAGACUCUGAGAAGAAUGUGAAAGAUGUCUAACAGGUGGAGCUUGAGAAAGUUGCCUCUGGUACUUCAAAUCCUAUUUCCGCUGAUGUCGAAGCCACUACAAGUGAAGAAGUUGGAGACCAUGAAGAUGUUGAAGAAGUUGAACUUGAAGAUUCUAUUCAAGUUGAAGAGCAAGUUUCACCUCAAGAGUCUAUUGCAAAGAACAGAGGAAAGAGACAAAUUACCAAGCCAGCUCGGUAUAGUGACUAUGUUUCUUUUGCUCUUCCUAUUAUCACUGAUGAGAUUUCAUCCAAUUUUGAGGAAGCUAUUGAGAGUGAAGAAAAUGAGAGAUGGUGCAAUGCCAUGGGUGAUGAGAUGAAUUCUCUAUUGAAGAACAAGACUUGGGAGUUAGCUAAAUUGCCUAAGGGCAAGAAAGCUAUCGGUUGCAAAUGGGUGUAUGCCAAGAAGGAAGAUGCUGAUGAGAAAAGCAAUGUGAGAUUCAAAGCAAGAUUAGUUGCUAAAGGGUAUGCACAAAAGGAGGGCAUUGACUACAAUGAAAUCUUUUCUCCGGUUGUGAAGCACUCCUCAAUUCGCAUUAUGUUAGCUCUUGUUGCACAAUAUGAUCUUGAGCUUGUGCAACUUGAUGUGAAGACGGCUUUCCUACAUGGUGAUUUGAAUGAAGAGAUUUAUAUGUGUCAACCGGAUGGGUAUAUAGUGAAAGGGAAGGAGAAUUUGUUUUGCAAAUUGAAGAAAUCACUUUAUGGCUUGAAGCAAUCUCCAAGGCAAUGGUAUUUGAGGUUUGAUAAAUUUAUGAGAGGCCAAAAUUAUUUUAGAAGUCAAUAUGAUCAUUGUGUGUACUUCAAGAAGUUGCAAGAUGGGUCUUUCAUUUAUUUGUUGAUAUAUGUUGAUGAUAUGUUGAUUGCCUCAAAGAAUGUCGAAGAGAUUGAGAAAUUGAAGAAGCAAAUGAAGAAUGAGUUUGAGAUGAAGGAUCUUGGUGAAGCGAAGAAGAUCCUUGGCAUGGAGAUCACUAGAGAUAGAGCGAAGGGUUUGGUUAGUUUGAAUCAAAGACAAUACCUUGAGAAGUUGAUUCGGAAGUUUGGAGUUCAUGAUUCAACCAAACCGGUUAGUACCCCUUUGGCUCCUCAUUUUAAAUUGAGUUCUCUACAAUGUCCUAAAACUGAUAAAGAGAAGCUGCAAAUGAAAAAUAUACCAUAUGCAAAUUUGGUUGGUAGUUUGAUGUAUGCAAUGGUAUGCUCUAGACCGGAUAUUGCUCAUGCAGUUGGCAUGGUGAGUCGAUAUAUGCAUAAUCCAGGUAAAGAGCAUUGGCAAACAGCUAAGUGGAUAUUGAGGUAUCUCCAUGGUACUCGAGAUGUUGGUUUAUGUUUUGAGAGAUAUGACUCUGGUAUUGGUCAUUUUGCAGUUGGUUAUGUUGAUUCAGAUUAUGCAGGUGAUCUGGAUGGAAGGAAGUCUACUACAGGCUAUAUGUUUACUAUGGCUAAAGGGCCAGUUUGUUGGAGGUCCAUUUUGCAGUCGUCUGUUGCCUUGUCUACUAUAGAGGCUGAAUAUAUGGCAGUUGCUGAAGCUAUAAAGGAGGCCAUUUGGAUACAUGGGCUGAUUAGAGAUUUGGGGGUUGAUCAGAAGCAGGUGGAGGUACAUUGUGAUAGUCAGAGUGCCAUUUAUUUGGUUAAGUAUCAGGUUCAUCAUGCGAGGACCAAGCACAUAAAUGUGCGUUAUCACUUUGUUCGUGAAAUUGUUAGUGAAGGGGAAAUCAUUCUCCAGAAGAUUCCAACUAAAGACAACCCCGCUGAUAUGUUGACUAAGGUUGUUGGUGUAGCCAAGUUUGUUCAUUGCUUGAACUUGGUGUUAAAAAUUUAAUAAUUAAAUAUUAGUAUUAUUAAUAUUUAAAAUAUUAAAUAUUCAAGUGAAUGAAAAUCAAAGUGGAAAAGUGGUUUGACCGGUAAGUUCAAGGGUUGUGUAUGUUUGCUUUUAAUUUUAUUUUAUUAUGGAAAUGGUGAAAGUUUUGACAUGCAGCUUUUCCAAGAAGUCAUGUAUGUUUAGGAAAAGCAGAUGCAGUUUUGGAGCUUGACGCAAUUUCAAAUAAAAUUGCUUCCUUUGCCUUUUGAAAGCAGACACAACUUUUGAUAAGGGGACACGUCAAAGCCUAUAAAUAGACCACCAAGUCAAGUAUUUUAGACAUACUUUUGCAUUCAGAAAUCAUAUAAAAAUUAGAGUAGUUUAGUGUUCAACAAAGAGAGAGUUUUAAACACUUUUGGUUCGCUGUUCUUUGUGGAUUGGAGUGCUACUUCCGCAAAGAGAAAGAUCGUUGUAUCCUGGGAGACAUUUGCCAACGCAAACCUUGAGGCACCACUGAGGGGCAAUCUUGUCUUAAGGCUAUAGAAUCAAAUUCUAGCCUCGAUCUCUUAAGGUUCUUCUAUUCCUUGUUCUUCUUGCAUUUGUAGAGAUUUUAUUGUGUAUUAUUUAAUAAUUUAUAAUAAAAUAUAUAGCAAUUUUUCAUAACUUUUUUCAAACACUUGGCUCAUAUUUUGCCUAUAUAAAGAAGGCGUUAAGCAGUAGGAGUUUUUGGAGCAUUUGGCUUGGCAUGAAUUGUUCUCUUGCUAGUGUUUGGGAGUGAUUUUUUGGGUCAAUUGUGUUGGUUGGCUUAUCACGGCGUUUUCGGAACUUGGCCAAGGUGGAGAUUGUUGAAUUGUGGCCAAGUGGCCAUCAUCUUUCCUAAUGAAUUAUUCAUUAUAUUUCUUCCUCUAUUUGUUUCUUUGGUGUGUGAGAGCUAUUGGGUGUAUUGGGUUAUUUGGGUUGUGAGAUUGCCAACACUUUGUAAACUCCCAUUUGGAUGAUAGUGGAUUAUUGGGUGAGCUCCUACUGCUCCGAGGACGUACUCCAGUUACACUGACUGUGGAGGAACCUCGUUAAAAUCUUGGUGUUAUUUUCUUUAAUAUUUUGUUCUUGCAUUUUCAUUUGAUAUAUUUUAUGUGGGUUAGCUUAAUUUGGUUCCGCGUGGUUUGGUGCUAUCCUAGCACAACAACAUCUGCUUUGGGAGUUUGGGGUUUGGGAAAGUCGGGAUUUUUGCACCACCAUCCCUUCACAUGGCCGACGGCCAAGAAAUUUUUGCCCGCUUCACUUGUGUUUUACCUUGCUAUCUUUACCAACACCAAUCUUCUUCGUCAUGCGAAUGUGGAUAUGUUUAUAGUGUUUAGAUCCUGCACGCCUCUUUUGGUUGUGCUGGCGAAUACUGCGUUUAGGAAGCAGCUAAUCCCGUCUAUGCUUACCUUUGUAUCGUUGUUGAUCAUUUUGGGUGGAGCUGUUGUUUUAUGUGGGCACUGAUUCGGGUUUUAGUUUGACUGCGUAUUCGUGGGCGUUUUCCUAUUUGGUGACCUUUACAACUGAGAUGAUUUAUAUUAGGCAUAUGGUCACGAAUCUCGGGUUGAACGUUUGGGGUUUUGUGUUGUACAACAAUCUUUUGUCACUGAUGAUCGCUUCACUGUUUUGAAUUAUUACUGGAGAGUAUUCUGAUAUGUUUGCUGCUUCUGGAUCGAAGGCUGCGAAUUUCUUUGUCAAUUUGAUAAUUAUUUGUUUUUAAGUUUUCAUUUGUUUCUAGAGAUAGAAAAAAAGUAUAUAAAGAAAUGAGGAAUGGAAAAGCAUGAUGUGAUGUUCAUGGGAGGGAAGAGGGAGGAGUCAAGGAGAUUAUAUGAAGACAAAAACCUCGAAAAUGAAAUCAAAUUUAAAUUGUUUAUACUUUUUGGUUUGUGCGUUACUCCUCACACAUUUCUUCUACCAUUAUUAGCACAAAAAAUGAAAAAUUAACAAAAUGACUAUUAAAUGGGCUCAUAUCUGUGUGCAUUGGAAACAGUGUCUGACUUUUCGGAAAUGUCAAAUAUGAUAUAAUUUUAAGGAAAACUAAUGAAAAUGGUUUGAAAACUUUGAGUUUUAAUGAUAAGGACAAAAUAAAGGGUAAAGUAAAUAGUACCAGAAUUGACUUUUUAGUGUAAAAAUGUAGUUUUUCGUUAAAGUAAACAGUACCGGGUGCUUUUCGUUAAAGUUCUCAUAAUUUUAUCUAGCUGAUUCGGCCGAAGUCACAGAGGUUUGUGAAAGCGCAAGCUCUUAAGUCUAAGUUUUAGGUCGAAGAGAAGAAGACUUGGCUUGCACGGCAACAUCAUUGAGAUCAAAAGUAUAAAUCAGAUGUAUUCAUUUAGAAAAUCAUGUUUAUGUGACUGAGUUUUGUUUGGACUGUGAGAUCGAAUCUGUUUAUUUAUUUUUUUUUUAAUUUUUUAUAGAAGAGUAUAUUUAAGUUAUUUGAGGAAAAAACCAAAUUGACAAAUUUUCUUUUAUUGUUGUCCUAUUUCAUAGGUUUCAAUUUUUUUUUUAACAAAUAUUAUUUACACUAAGAGGAUGGGUAGGGAUGGCAAUUCUAACCGUUAAACCCGAUAACUGUGAAUAACCGCCCGAAUGGAACGGAUUUGGGUAUGGAAGUUUGGGUAUAUUAUUCGGUUAUGGUUUUGGAUAUGGUUAUAGAAGUCCCCAAACCGUAUCCAUAACUGAAUCUGACCCGAUUAGUAAAUAAUAUAAUUUAUAUAUAAUAUUAUAGUAUAGUAUAAUAUAUAUAUAUAUAUAUUUGUAUAUCUAUUAUUCACCGAAUCAUUACCUUAAGAAUACAAAAGUUGCAUUUUGUAGGAAAGUAAAGUUUUGAAUCAAAAUCAAAGCGAACUCAAUGGUGUUUAUGGGAGAUAUCAAAGAUAAGCCAACAUCAUUAGUGUUUUAAUUUUUAUACUCAACAUGAUCCAUUCAUUGGAUCAUUUUAUACGUCAAUAUAUAUAAAUAUAGAUAUAUUUGUGUAUCUAUUAUUCACCGAAUUAUUACCUCGAGAAUACAAAAGUUGCAUUUUGUAGGAAAGUAAAGUUUUGAAUCAAAAUCAAUGUGAACUCAAUGGUGCUUAUGGGAGAUAUCAAAGAUAAGCCAACAUCAUUAGUGUUUUAAACUUUAAUUUUUAUACUCAACAAGAUCCAUUUAUUAGAUCAUUUUAUACAUCAAAUGUUUAAUGACGAAAUUAAUAUCUACUAACUUAUAAUGUCUCAACUGAACGAAUAUAUUUUUUGUAUUGACGAAGAUGGAUAUACCUGUCAACCGAUGGGGAAUCCGUUACCCGGUGGGUAUGGUUAUGGAUAAUACCUGAUGGUUAAUUUACGGUUAUGGAUAUGGUUAAUUUUCAUGGUUAUGGGGAUAGAUAUAGCAUUUCGGUCCCCAAACCAAACCAUUGCCAUCCCUAAGGAUGGGGGAGUGGGCUAACUCUCACAAUGGACUAGCAAUAAUAUGGUUAAAAUUCGCAUUUGGCAAGAAUCGAACCUAAGACAUUUUAUUUAUAAGUGAAGAAAAGCACCACUAUGAUAAGAUUUUUAUUAUCUGCAAAAGUUGAGAUAAAAUAGGGAUUGGUUUAAAGAACUAAUGAUUGAACAAGAUAAAACAAAUAAAAGCAGUAACACAUGAAAAUAAACAAAUGGACAAAGUGCUAGAGCUCAACCUUCAUAAGCAACACUCCUAUUUAGUUCUUUUAGUUAUACAAAUAAUUGAAAACAUGCAAACUUUGAAGGUUAAAUUUUCCUUGUAUAAAUUUAACAUGUGACAUUCAAGCUAAAACACAUACAACAAUAUGCAGUUUAUCCAUGACAUUUAGAUUAAACGUGAAUAUGAGUCAUCCAUUAAACUAUGUGAAAACCUUUUCUGAUAAACCAUGCAAUCCCUAAGAGUAUGAUAUUUACUUUAGGAGAGAUUACAAUUCUCAACCACAAGAAGUUAGAACCAAUUUUAACGUGACAUUUGUUCAAGAUUGCAUCAAAUUAUUUUUCUAAACAUACUAAUGGUAAUCAAGCAUUAAGACACAUAAGUGGUAUAACUUAGUGAUUAAAAAUAUCAAAGUAAACAUAACAAUACUUAAGCAACCACAAGAGAAUUACAUAUUUGUGUUGAGGUUCUUGGUUUCACUGUAGCAAAAGAAAAUUAGUUACAAAUAAUUAUAUAAAUACAUACAACAUUAUCCAUGAGGAAUUAAAGAGGGAGAACAACCCGUUUUACAAGGCUUCCUCCGGAGCUCUCCAAAUCCUCAUCCGCUUCAUGCGUCUGAACGUUCCUGCUCAACUCAAAUUCAAAAUCGGCAACAACUGAUCAGCUGCAACUGGAAACAAGAUGCCGUGAGAGCAGCUCCUCACCUGAUCCUAAUCCUGUGGAAGUUCAAGUUUAAACUUUUGUAAUUAUAUUUUUCAUGUAAUUAUCUUUUAUUUAUCAGUUUGUUUCAAAGAGUUUUACUGUUGUUAAAACUUCUUCAAUGUAAAGUCUAUAUAUACUGGAAUACAAACAGAAGUAAUUCAUCGAGCAAAAUCACCCUUUCUUAUUUUCUAUCUUUCUUUUCAUUCUUUGCAGCUGCUCUGCUGCUUAAUGCCUCGAACAUCCCUCUCAUUCCUUUCUGUCCCCUUGCUUUUCAAUCAUUUCGACCUUUCCUCAUUUGUUUAUUAUUUUCCAUGCCCUUUCUGUCCUUUUAUUCCCUUCUUUCCCUCCUUUUCUUCUCUUUCCAUUUUCUUUCACUUCUCUUUCUUCUCCAGCCGCCUACCUCCCAACAUAGAAAAUAUUAAUUCGUUCAACUUUCGGCUCUUGCAACUUUCGGCUACUGGAGUCCAACUGGAGUGUAGGUUUAAUUAAUAAACCAAAUGGAACACAUAUUUUAAUGGGAUACUUGGUUUCGUGUGAAGAAAAAUUUCAUUGUAAUGGGAAUAUGUAUGGUGCAUCACAUGUUUUUAUGUAAGUGGUAAAAAAAUUUUAUUUUUUAAGUUAUUAAUAUUCUAAUACACAUAUUUUCACCAUUUGUAUAACGACACAUGUGUAUCACCAUGUGUGCCGAUCAUACUGAAAGAUAUCUCUUGAGUAUGAGUUGCAUUUGUACUUCCAUUUGCAUAUUUUUUUCACCAAAAUAAAUUUUUCUGCUUCUGGAAACACAAUAUGGCAAAAGUAAUACAAAAACUUAAAAAUUUCCAGAUUACGGAAAAUAAAAAGGGGCAAAAUAUAGGGUAUAGAUUUUGGCUCAUCAUGUAGCAAAUGACUAACAUGCACCUUUUAGACUGCCACUUGAUUUCUUUAGACUAAUGCCACAAUGAAGUUAUGGUUUAUAUUAGGAAAUUAAUAUUUUUUUUAAGAGUGUUUAGGAAGAAUGGUGGGUGGUGGGGAAGUGGGUGCCAAAAUCAUUUUUAUUUUUAAAUUUCAUUCGGACUUUCUAUGCAGCAUCAGAUUCAAUAUACUAUCAAAGUUCCUAUUCCAUUGAGGGAAACGAAAGUAAAAUAUAAAAAAUGUCUACUAUGGUUUGUGGAACCAAUUAAUGGAUACAAAUAUAUAUAUUAAAUUGUAGAACUGAAUUUUUAUUUUUAUUUCCUACAUAGAUAUAUUUACAUUAAGAAAGUGAGAGAAUAAAUUGUGUUGCAAAUUUAUCAUUGUCAGAUUUGAAUCUAAGAUUUCUCAUUUAUAAGUAAAGAUAAAUAUCACUAAACCAUAAUAGUACGUGAAACUAAAUUAUUAAGAUGAUACUCAAAAUAAGUUUUAGUGGGCUAGAUGACACUCAAAAUAAGCUUUUUUUACCUUGUUAAUAAAAAAUUUAAUCUGUGGCUGUAUAUGCUUACAAAUACCAAUCAACCCAAGUUAUAUAAGAGUAUCUCUAAAGGAGAUGUAAAAUUCUAGAUGGAGAUAUGACUGUGCAUAUUUGACAUCAAAAAUCCUUUCAAUCAAAGUUUUAUUUGCGUACUGGAUUUAAAGCUUUUGUGUUUAGGAGUAUUAUUUAUUAGUCUAAUUGCAUAUCCCUUAUUUCACUAAUAUUUCAACCAAUAAAAUUUUGUUUAAACAAUUUUUUUAAUAAAUACAACUAUUUAAAGCUCUAGAUUAAUAAAAAAUAAUAUUUGACAACUCGGUUGGAGAAACAUAAAAUUUAACAUAAGAUUUCAGAUUGCCACAUUAAUCACCAAUUGUAAUUUAACUAUAAUAAUUUCACAUUUUCGUUAGAGAUGAUCUAAUGCAUUAUAGGGAGUUGAAUUGUAGGUAGCUACUACUACUCACCGCCAAGAAAGUCAUUGCAAUUUGCAGCCAGUCCAACUGUCCAAGUCCAAGUCAUAUAAAAAGACACCGUUGGAUGUAUAGUAUAGGGAGUAUUCUUACCAUCAUAACUAUAGUAUACGCUCAUUAUACACCUAAUUAUCUGUCACAUGUUCCUUCAUCUAAUUCUGGUUAACUUUCACAUCAAAUGUUUUUUCAUUUUUGAAAAACAAUUAAUCAAGAUUAAGUAAAAAGACACAUGACAGAUGAUUAGAUGUAUAGUAAACAUACAUCAUAGUUUAUAGUGGCAAACAAAAAUGCUCUCUUGGAACUUUGUGUUUAUUCAAAAAAAAAAAAAACCUAGUUAUCGUUUUAAUAAAAAAACGUAUCUCUCCUAGUUUUAUGGUUGACCACUUCUUUUCUACCAAACAGGUUUUGUUUUGAAGAUAAAAGAAAAUACUUAAUCUUUCUCAACUAGGUGAUCACUUCAGAUUUUUUGGCCUGAUUCUAAGGCCACCUUUUCCUCUACCUCUUCAACGUUAAACUUUGGUUCUUCUAUUAUAAAUAUGAGGGUCUUUCAUUAGUCGAAUAAGAAGAAGAAAAAAAAGUGGAAAACUAAAGCUAUAAACACUAAGCAACAACAACAACAACAACAACAAAAAGCCUUUUCCCACUAAGUGGGGUCGGCUAUAUAUGAAUCCUAGAACGCCAUUGCGCUCAUUUUGUGUCAUGUCCUCCGUUAGAUCCAAGUACUCAAGUCUUUUCUUAGGGUCUCUUCCAAAGUUUUCCUAGGUCUUCCUCUACUCCUUCGGGCCCGAACCUCUGUCCCGUAGUCACACAUUUUCGAACCGGAGCGUCAGUAGGCCUUCUUUGCACAUGUCCAAACCACCGGAACCGAUUUUCUCUUAUAUUUCCUUCAAUUUUGGCUACUCCUACUUUACCUUGGAUAUCCUAAUUCCCAAUCUUAUCCUUUCUCGUGUGCCCAUACAUCCCACGAAGCAUCCUCAUCUCCGCUACACCCAUUUUGUGUACGUUGAUGCUUCACCGCCCAACAUUCUGUGCCAUACAACAUCACUGGCCUUAUUGCCGUCCUAUAAAAUUUUCCCUUGAGCUUCAGUGGCCUACGACGGUCACACAACACGCCGGAUGCACUCUUACACUUCAUCCAUCCAGCUUGUAUUCUAUGGUUGAGAUCUCCAUCUAAUUCUCCGUUCUCUUGCAAGAUAGAUCCUAGGUAGCGAAAACGGUCACUUUUUGUGAUCUUCGCUAGAUUGCUCCGGUCAUUAGUGUGGAUAAGUAUAUAAAUGGAUAGAGAUAGGAAAGCAAACACAAGAUGUACGUGGUUCACCCAGAUUGGCUACGUCCACGGAAUAGAGGAGUUCUUAUUAAUUGUGAAGGGUUUACACAAGUACAUAGGUUCAAGCUCUCCUUUAGUGGGUACAAGUGAAUGAUUUAGUACAAAUGACAUUAGGAAAUAUUGUGGGAGAAUGAUCUCGUAGCCACGAAACUUCUAAGUACCGGAGUGUGGUAUCGUCUUGACUUGCCUUAUCUGUCUCAUAGGUAGUACUCUUCCUCCAUCCAGGGGUGGUAUCUGUAACUGGUGGAGAUGCACAAGGUAAUGUAUCAAUUUCACUUGAAGCUUACUUGUAGUUUCAUGCUUGGUCAAGCGAGAUACAAACCAUGUAGUAGGAGUCCCCCAAGUCGCCGAGCUGGGGGAUCUGUUGAAAGAGGUGACAGACAAGGUAAGCAAUCAGAGCUCCGGCUGAUUGUUCACAUUCUCCCUAUCUUGCAGGCAGCAUGAAGGAUAAAGAGAAGAAAAAUGAGGAGAGAUGAUAUGGGAUACUUUUGCUUUUGAAGAAGUAACUUUCCACAGGCUUAUUCUUGAACUGGGCUGGAGGGUUUUCUGGUUUUCUCCAGAGUAUAAGGCCGACUGAAGAAUUUGAGGGUCAAAACAAGUCCAUCAAAUCUAGAGUACGUUCGACCCUGCUGAUAUGGGAUACUUUUGCUUUUGAUAGAGUAGUGGAUGUAUCGGCACGUGUGCUGUUACGCUUGUCUCCACAUGCUUCCUUGUAUCCUUCUCACUUGCCCUAUCUGUUCCUCAGGCAGAUGCGGUAUCUUCCCUGGAAAGCAUAAGAUGUUGAAGAUGAGUACUCGAGAGAGCAAUGCCAGGUAAGUAAUCAGGUAAGGGGUUCCAGGCAGUCAGUUCCUGGCUGGAAGCUUGAUUCCAAGUGCUGACUGAUUGCUCUCUUUCUCCUUGUCUUACAGGUAAGAACAAGGCCAAAGGAAAAGACAGGGAAAAAGCAUGAUAUGGGAUACUCUUGCUUUUAACCCUGAUGAUAUGAGAUAAUCUUGCUCUAGUAUAGCUUGUUUACAGAGGUAUUAUCGGGGGGAAAGAAAGCUGAAUAUUUCGAAAGGCUUUGUUGGGAGUGCCCUCUCAGAUAAGAGAAAGGGUUGAGCAUUUUUGCAGGUCUGCCUGUCCGUUAGGGAUGGAAGUCGACAUAUAUAGGAGUCUCCCUAACAUCAAGUAAUAAUGCUAUUCCUUUACCCUGCUUGGUUAUAGCACGGUAGUGGGAGCUGCCAGCUUCACAUGUUUUAACUCUAUCAGAGCACUUUGAAAAAGUGGUUUGUGGUAUCUGGAAAGCUGAUGCUGAUGUUGCGUGUGAAGAUUACAGACCUGUCGGGGGUCUGGCUCUCGAGAUUCAGAGAACGAUGCCUCUUCGAUUUUUGAGAAAACAAUCCUGCUGGGGGUCUGGCUCUCGAGAUUCGGAGAACGAUGCCUUUUCGAUUUUUGAGAAAGUAAUCAUGUUGGGAGUCUGGCUCUCGAGAUUCGGAGGGCCGUGCCUCUUCGAUUUUGGAGCAAGCAAUCUUGUUGGGAGUGUUUUCUCGAAUGUGAGUAAAGGUUGGGCAUGUUUGCUAGUCUACCUUGCCACGAAGCACGGAGGUUGACACACAGGGACUUUCCAAUUAUCCAGCAGUGGUACUGUUCCUUUACCCUCUCUUCGAUUUUGAGAAAGUAAUCAUGUUGGGAGUCUGGCUCUCGAGAUUCGGAGGGCGGGUGCCUCUUCGAUUUUGGAGCAAGCAAUCUUGUUAGGAGUGUUUUCUCGAAUGUGAGUAAAGGUUGGGCAUGUUUGCUAGUCUACCUUGCUACGAAGCACAAAGGUUGACACACAGGGACUUUCCAAUUUAUCCAGCAGUGGUACUGUUCCUUUACCCUCUCUUCGAUUUUUGAGAAAGUAAUCAUGUUAGGAGUCUGGCUCUCGAAAUUCGGAGGGCGGUGCCUCUUCGAUUUUGGAGCAAGCAAUCUUGUUAGGAGUGUUUUCUCGAAUGUGAGUAAAGGUUGGGCAGUCUACCUUGCCACGAAGCACAGAGGUUGACACACCGGGACUUUCCAAUUAUCCAGCAGUGGUACUGUUCCUUUACCCUUGUGGGUAAUAAUAUGGUAGCUAGACCUUCAAAAUUUAUGUGUCUAAACUUUGUUAGUGUUGUUUCUUUGCAAUUCUUUUACCCUUCUUGGUCAGAGCGAUGUAGUGGGAGCUGCAAGCUUCACGUGUCUCAACUUUGUCAGAGAACUUUGGCAAAGUUAUCUGUGGUACCCAUGAGCUACUGUUGCGUGUGGGAAGUGGGUGAUUGAACAGUACGAUUCAUGUGCUUUCUACUUCGCCAGAAAUCUUCGACAGAAUGCCCAUAAUUUCCGCAAAGCUGAGUGUGCGUGUGACAGGUGCUGACAAGGCUGGAAAAGUAGGUGCCUCUUCGAUUUCUGAAAUCGGCCCUCGUGGUCUCUGAGCAGCCCAGCUUUUGAGAAAGCAAGCCUCUUCGAUUUCUGAGAUCGACCUUUGUGGUCUUUGAGCAGCCCAGCUUUUGAGAAAGCAAACACCUCUUCGAUUUCUGAGAUCGACCCUCGUGGUCUCUGAGCAGCCCAGCUUUUGAGAAAGCAAACGCCUCUUCGAUUUCUGAGCAGGCGCCUCUUCGAUUUCUGAAGCUUCGUCGAGUGCAGAUUUUUAUAGGGGCUGACAUUAAGUUCCAAAGCACACUUGAAUAUCCACCAGUAGAAGCUCCAUUCUUGCACUUCUAAGAUCUUGAUUUGUCCGACCUCUUCUCUCUUCAACACCUUUGAAAAUGUCUGGCCCCUCCGACCGUCGUUUUGACUUGAACCUUGUUGAAGAGGCAGCCCCGCCUUCUCCAGACAACAUAUGGCGCCCAUCCUUCGUCUCCCCUACUGGUCCUCUUACCGUUGGGGAUUCCGUGAUGAAGAAUGAUAUGACCGCUGCGGUAGUGGCCAGGAACCUUCUCACUCCCAAAGAUAACAGACUACUUUCCAAACGGUCUGAUGAGUUGGCUGUUAAGGAUUCUCUGGCUCUCAGUGUUCAGUGUGCAGGUUCUGUGUCUAAUAUGGCCACAACGCCUAUUUGCUCGAACCCGCCAAGUUGAAUCAUUGGCGGCUGAAGUGAUGAGUCUCAAACAGGAGAUUAGAGGGCUCAAGCAUGAGAAUAAACAGUUGCACCGGCUCGCACAUGACUAUGCUACAAACAUGAAGAGGAAGCUUGACCAGAUGAAGGAAUCUGAUGGUCAGGUUUUACUUGAUCAUCAGAGAUUUGUGGGUUUGUUCCAAAGGCAUUUAUUGCCUUCGUCUUCUGGGGCUGUACCGCGUAAUGAAGCUCCAAAUGAUCAACCUCUGAUGCCUCCUCCUUCUAGGGUUUUGUCCAGUACUGAGGCUUCGAAUGAUCCCCCUCCGGUGCCUUCUCUUUCUGGGGCUCUACCGACUGCUGAGACUUCUCCUAAGCAACCUUUGUGAAGGCUCCCUCUUGUUUUGUUUAUUUGACUCAAGUAUAUGUACAUAUUUGUAACUUAUCGGGGAUAUCAAUAAAUAAGCUUUCCUUCAUUUCAACGUAUUGUGUUAAAUACACCAAAGCCUUCUUCGCUAAGUUCUUUGAAUUUUCUUUUGUUGAAGCUUGUAUGUUGAAGCUUUGUGAGUGGAGCAUAUAGGUUGAGGUAGUGUUCCCUUAAUUUCCCGAGUGAGGAAAACUUCUCGGUUGGAGACUUGGAAAAUCCAAGUCACUGAGUGGGAUCGGCUAUAUGAAUCUUAGAACGCCAUUGUGUUCUGUCCUGUGUCAUGUCCUCCGUUAGAUCCAAGUACUCUAAGUCUUUUCUUAGGGUCUCUUCCAAAGUUUUCCUAGGUCUUCCUCUACCCCUUCGGCCCUGAAUCCUCUGUCCCAUAGUCGCAUCUUCUAAUCGGAGCGUCAGUAGGCCUUCUUUGCACAUGUCCAAACCACCGUAACCGAUUUUCUCUCAUCUUUCCUUCAAUUUCGGCUACUCCUACUUUACCCCGGAUAUCCUCAUUCCUAAUCUUAUCCAUUUCUCGUGUGCCCACACAUCCAACGAAGCAUCCUCAUCUUCCGCUACACCCAUUUUGUGUACGUGUUGAUGCUUCACCGCCCAACAUUCUGUGCCAUACAGCAUCGCCGGCCUUAUUGCCGUCCUAUAAAAUUUUCCCUUGAGCUUCAGUGGCAUACGGCGGUCACACAACACGCCGGAUGCACUCUUCCACUUCAUCCAUCCAGCUUGUAUUCUAUGGUUGAGAUCUCCAUCUAAUUCUCCGUUCUUUUGCAAGAUAGAUCCUAGGUAACGAAAACGGUCGCUCUUUGGUAUUUCUUGAUCUCCGAUCCUCACCCCUAACUCGUUUUGGCCUCCAUUUGCACUGAACUUGCACUCCAUAUAUUCUGUCUUUGAUCGGCUUAGGCGAAGACCUUUAGAUUCCAACACUUCUCUCCAAAGGUUAAGCUUUGCAUUUACCCCUUCCUGAGUUUCAUCUAUCAACACUAUAUCGUCUGCGAAAAGCAUACACCAAGGAAUAUCACCUUGAAUAUGUCCUGUUAACUCAUCCAUUACCAACGCAAAAAGGUAAGGACUUAAGGAUGAGCCUUGAUGUAAUCCUACAGUUAUGGGAAAGCUUUCGGUUUGUCCUUCAUGAGUUCUUACGGCAGUCUUUGCUCCUUCAUACAUAUCCUGUAUAGCUUGGAUAUAUGCUACUCGUACUCCUUUCUUUUCUAAAAUCCUCCAAAGAAUGUCUCUUGGGACCCUAUCAUACGCUUUUUCCAAAUCUAUAAAGACCAUGUGUAAAUCCUUUUUCCCAUCUCUAUAUCUUUCCAUCAAUCUUCGUAAGAGAUAGAUUGCCUCCAUGGUUGAGCGCCCUGGCAUGAACCCGAAUUGGUUGUCCGAAACCCGUGUCUCUUGCCUCAAUCUAUGCUCAAUGACCAUCUCCCAGAGCUUCAUUGUAUGACUCAUUAGCUUAAUUCCCCUAUAGUUCAUGCAAUUUUGUACAUCGCCCUUAUUCUUGUAGAUAGGCACCAAAGUGCUCAUUCGCCACUCAUUCGGCAUCUUCUUCGUUUUCAAAAUCCUAUUGAAAAGGUCAGUGAGUCAUGUAUACCUAUCUCUCCCAAAACUUUCCACACUUCGAUUGGUAUAUCGUCUGGGCCUACUGCUUUUCUAUGCUUCAUCUUCUUCAAAGCUACACCCACUUCUUCCUUCCGGAUUCUACGAUAAAAAGAGUAGUUUCUACACUCUUCUGAGUUACUCAACUCCCCUAAAGAAUCACUCAUUUCAUGUCCUUCAUUGAAAAGAUUAUGAAAAUAACAUUUCCAUCUGUCUUUAACCGCGUUCUCUGUAGCAAGAACCUUUCCAUCCUCAUCCUUGAUGCACCUCACUUGGUUUAGGUCCUUUGUCUUCUUUUCCCUUACUCUAGCUAGUUUAUAGAUAUCCAACUCUCCUUCUUUGGUAUCUAGUCGCUUAUACAUAUCGUCAUAAGCCGCUAACUUAGCUUCUCUCACAGCUUUCUUCGCCUCUUGCUUCGCUUUUCUAUACCUUUCACCAUUUUCAUCGGUCCUAUCCUUAUAUAAGGCUUUACAACAUUCCUUCUUAGCCUUCACCUUUGCUUGUACCUCCUCAUUCCACCACCAAGAUUCCUUUUGGUGUGGGGCAAAGCCCUUGGACUCUCCUAAUACCUCUUUUGCUACUUUUCGGAUACAACUAGCCAUGGAAUCCCACAUUUGGUUAGCUUCCCCCUCUCUAUCCCACACACACUGGGUGAUUACUUUCUCUUUGAAAAUGACUUGUUUUUCUUCUUUUAGAUUCCACCAUCUAGUCCUUGGGCACUUCCAAGUCUUGUUCUUUUUUCUCACUCUUUUGAUAUGUACAUCCAUCACCAACAAGCGAUGUUGAUUAGUCACGCUCUCUCCUGGUAUAACUUUGCAAUCCUUACAAGUUAUACGAUCCCCUUUCCUCAUUAGAAGAAAUCUAUUCGUGUUGUGUGACCGUCGUAGGCCACUGAAGCUCAAGGGAAAAUUUUAUAGGACGACAAUAAGGCCAGCGAUGUUGUAUGGCACAGAAUGUUGGGCGGUGAAGCAUCAACGUACACAAAAUGGGUGUAGCGGAGAUGAGGAUGCUUCGUGGGAUGUAUGGGCACACGAGAAAGGAUAAGAUUGGGAAUUAGGAUAUCCGAGGUAAAGUAGGAGUAGCCAAAAUUGAAGGAAAUAUAAGAGAAAAUCGGUUCCGGUGGUUUGGACAUGUGCAAAGAAGGCCUACUGACGCUCCGGUUCGAAAAUGUGACUACGGGACAGAGGUUCGGGGCCGAAGGAGUAGAGGAAGACCUAGGAAAACUUUAGAAGAGACCCUAAGAAAAGACUUGAGUACUUGGAUCUAACGGAGGACAUGACACAAAUGAGCGCAAUGGCGUUCUAGGAUUCAUAUAGCCGACCCCACUUAGUGGGAAAAGGCUUUGUUGUUGUUGUUGUUGUUGUUGUUGCUUAGUGUUUAUAGCUUUAGUUUUCCACUUUUUUUUCUUCUUCUUAUUCGACUAAUGAAAGACCCUCAUAUUUAUAAUAGAAGAACCAAAGUUUAACGUUGAAGAGGUAGAGGAAAGGUGGCCUUAGAAUCAGGCCAAAAAAUCUGAAGUGAUCACCUAGUUGAGAAAGAUUAAGUAUUUUCUUUUAUCUUCAAAACAAAACCUGUUUGGUAGAAAAGAAGUGGUCAACCAUAAAACUAGGAGAGAUACGUUUUUUUAUUAAAACGAUAACUAGGUUUUUUUUUUUUUGAAUAAACACAAAGUUCCAAGAGAGCAUUUUUGUUUGCCACUAUAAACUAUGAUGUAUGUUUACUAUACAUCUAAUCAUCUGUCAUGUGUCUUUUUACUUAAUCUUGAUUAAUUGUUUUUCAAAAAUGAAAAAACAUUUGAUGUGAAAGUUAACCAGAAUUAGAUGAAGGAACAUGUGACAGAUAAUUAGGUGUAUAAUGAGCGUAUACUAUAGUUAUGAUGGUAAGAAUACUCCCUAUACUAUACAUCCAACGGUGUCUUUUUAUAUGACUUGGACUUGGACAGUUGGACUGGCUGCAAAUUGCAAUGACUUUCUUGGCGGUGAGUAGUAGUAGCUACCUACAAUUCAACUCCCUAUAAUGCAUUAGAUCAUCUCUAACGAAAAUGUGAAAUUAUUAUAGUUAAAUUACAAUUGGUGAUUAAUGUGGCAAUCUGAAAUCUUAUGUUAAAUUUUAUGUUUCUCCAAGCAUCUGAGUAAAUAGGGCGAUAGUAUUCGGAUCUUCCUCAGUGCAAGAGAGGGUCUAAACAGAAGGAUUCUGGGCUGUUUUAUAUUAGGGAUGACGUGGUAUAUAUUUGUAAACUGCUUGCACACAUUGACAGAACCGCGAAACAUCUUAAAAAAAACGACUCACGACUCAACCCAAGACAGUUCUCCAUUCUUUUGUUCAUUCUCUGGUAAUAUUGUUCUUGUUUUAUAGUGCAGCACAUAUUAUGUGUCUCAUUUGCCUCUGGUUGGUUGAGUCAGAUAUUGGAUUAGAGGUUCCAUGAUUUUAAAACUUAUUUUGUCUCCUGGAAAGAGCCAAAAGUGUCCUUGAGUAUUAUAUAUUCGCGUUGCAACACAAGACAAGCGUUGCCAUUAUUUCGUUCGUGAUAGGAAUCACUGUAGUGCUGUAAACAGUGACACUACAAUGACAACCCAUGAGGCGUCUUCUUCAUUAUCCUCCUCCUCCUCAAAACUAUGGAAGUACGAUGUAUUCUUGAGCUUUAGAGGCGAAGAUACACGCAAUGGCUUCACGGGCCACCUCCAUGCGGCAUUAAAAGACAAGGGCUACGAGGUCUUUAUUGAUGAGGAUGAUCUGAAAAGAGGGGAAGAAAUAAAACCCGAACUGUUCCGGGCAAUCGAAGAGUCCAGAAUCUCGAUCAUUGUCUUCUCAAAGAGUUACGCGGAUUCAAGAUGGUGUCUUGACGAGCUGGUGAAGAUCAUGGAAUGUAAAGAAAAGCCGGGGCAAGAGGUUUUACCAAUAUUCUAUCAUGUCGAUCCUUCACAUGUGCGGAAGCAGGAGGGUUGUUUAGCCCGAGCAUUUCAGAAGCACGAAGAUGGCAUCUUUGAAGAAAAAGAUGACAAAGAACGUGAAGCUAUGAAAGAAACGGUAAAACAAUGGAGGGAGGCUCUUACUCAAGCUGCAAAUUUGUCUGGCCACUAUCUUAAUAACGGGUGAUUAAUAUUUUUCAUUAGACGUAGACGUCUUUCAAUACUCGAUUAGUAUAAUAGUACUGCUGCUAUCUAUUCGGCUUUUCCCCAUUUUGAAACAUUUUAAUGAAUGGUUGAAACAUUUUAAGUUAUAUACAUUACUCAAGUCCAAGCAUCGAAAAAUUAAGGUUAUUUGGUUCAAGUGGUUUAAAUAAUAUUGGGCAUCUCUCUCCUACAUAUUGCACGUUGAUUUUAGGUUGAAAUAUCCCACAUUCUAAUACUUCCUACUCUCAAAUCCUAUAUUAGAGUAGCAAUAAUCCUCUAAUAUCUCCAUAUUUGCGGUCAGACGUGAUUCUUUCUCUUUGUAUCAAAUUGAUAUACGCUUGUUUUAGUCGAAGAAGUCAGGCUAUAUCAUCUCCCACCAUAACGUUCAUGUUUAUCUAUAUAUACGUUCUCCAUUUAGUUAAUUCUUUAUAUUGAGUGAAGGUGAUAAGCUUCUGGUAAUCCUUCAUUGAGUUAAUGCUUAUUAAUUGAGUUUUCAGGCAUGAAGCAAAGUUUAUUAGGAAAAUUGUUGAUGAGAAUAUAUGGGAAUGGCGCCCCAGCACAAACGAAUAUUUACAUGUGGCCACGCACCCGGUUGGAAUCGACUCUCGUGUUCAACCAAUUAUCAGUGAUCUUUCAAGCUGUGGAUCAAAUGACGUCAAAAUGGUUGGAAUUUGGGGGAUGGGUGGAUUGGGCAAAACAACUGCUGCUAAAGCCAUUUAUAACAAAAUUCAUCACAACUUCCAAUUUAAAUGUUUCCUUGCCGACGUUAGCGACACUGUAAGUAAAUAUGGUCUAAUUUAUUUGCAAGAACAGCUUGUUUCUAACAUUUUGAAACAAACCACCAAGUUCCAGAUAAAUAGUGUCGAUGCAGGAAUCGGUGUAAUAAAACAACAUCUUCGACGUAGAAUAGUACUUCUUGUUAUUGAUGAUGUAGAGACAGUGGGCCAACUAAAUGCAAUAGUUGGAAAUCGUGAUUGGUUUAGUUCAGGAAGUAUAAUUAUCAUAACAACAAGAGAUGAGCAUUUACUAAAUCAAUGGAAAGUGAAUAUGAGAUAUCCAACUUGGGUAAUGAAUGAAGAAGAAGCUCUUGAGCUCUUUAGUUGGCAUGCUUUUGGAAAUAGUUUGCCUAAUGAAGAAUAUCAUGAAUUGUCAAAGAAGGUAGUCUCUUAUUGUGGAGGUUUGCCACUAGCACUCGAAGUUUUGGGCUCUUUACUUAUGGGCAGAACCAUAACAGAGUGGGAAAGCGAACUGGAGAAAUUGAAAAGAGUACCUGAAGGAGAAAUUAUAGAAAAACUCAGAAUAAGCUUUGAUAGGCUAGAUGAUACUCAGAAGGCUAUAUUCCUUGAUAUAUCUUGUUGCUUUCUUGGAAUGGACAAGGAUUAUGUCACAAAAAUAUUAGAUGGAUGUGGCUUCUUUGCAACAAUAGGAAUCAGUAUUCUCCGUGAAAGAUGUCUUGUAAUUAUUGAAUACGGCAAGUUGAAGAUGCAUGAUUUGGUUCAAAAAAUGGGCAAGAUAAUCAUUUUCAAAGAAUCCCCUACUCAACUUGAAAGAUGGAGUAGACUGUGGAACCUUGAAGCCGUAAUAAAUGUGUUGAUAAAUGAAUCUGUAAGUAGUUUCGCAACAAAAUUUUAUAUUAAUGCUCGCUAAAUCAUAUCUUUGUGCAACUGGCCUAUAUUUUAGAAUAUUAUGUAGAAAUGUAUUUAUGCAAUAAACCUUCAUGUGGAAAUAGAAGCAAUUAAAUCGACUUUCUGUAGGAAAAUAUUAGUAUUUAGGUUAAUUUUAAUAUUUUAUUUUUUGAGAUUAGGCUGUUAGUAUUAAAUGUUUAUUUCCUUGCCUAUUAAAAUUAGAUUUUUUUUUUUUUACGAAUUUAUAAUGUUCUCUUUCCUUUUGACUAAUACAUUAUUAUUCGCUGUUUAUAUUUCAUUAGUUUGUACUUUGGUUUUCAACAAAUUAAUCCUUCAAAAUUUAAUCUGUUCUUUUUGUUUGUCGUUCAUCGCCUCUCCCGAUACUCAGUUGUUUGUUUGUCUAAUUUGGAUCAGUAUGUUGAGUUCUCACUGAUUUAUAAAAAAUUAAAAAAUUAAAAAAAAAAAAGUAUGUAGUUUGAAGUCACUGCCACACCAACCACCUGCACUCGACCCGCACCCCUGAACUUGCAGCCUGACCCGCUUCUGCAACCCGUCGUCCCUCGCUGAUUUCCGCACGCCCAGAUCUGCUGGAACCCAAAACCUCCUCACCUGCUCAACAUGAAGCCUGUACUCACCGUACCCGCACCCCACCGCUGUAGCACCAGGUUCAACCGUCGCACGUUGCUACACCUGCGCCCACCGUCCCUGUCACGCCGUUGUCCCGCCCGCUGCCACCUGUACCCAGACCCGCGAAUCCAUCUGCUUGCCGUCCACCUGAACCACAGCGAAUCCUAUAAUCGCACCCAAAGGAUGACACACCCAGUCGUGUUUGCCCAAACCACAUCGGAAUCCCGCUGCUUGUUGCUUUCUUUUUCGUUUGUUUGAAUCGAAGCCAGAUCAGUUCGUGGAGUUGUCAAAGUUGUCUUGAUUGAUAGAAAAAGAAAGCGUUCACUAGCUCUCCUUCUGCGAUGAUUUGCUUCUUCAGGAAAAGGGAGGAAUUUGCCGAAUUCAGAAGAGUGGGUAUAAUAACAAGGUUACUUGAAUGAAUUGCUGAAGUUUUUCAACCCUGGUUUUGAUUGAUAUCCUGGAGUCCAUGGAAUCGACAAAUGAAAGAAGUAUUGAAGUUUGAGAACUUCGGAUUGGGUCUGAUGACUGUUGUUGUGCCCAUUUUGGUUGCUUUUUGAGACUAGUUGAAGUUUGGACUUGUAUAUGAAGUGUUAUUGUUCACCACGGCGGUCACUCGAGUGCUUUGACUGAUGACCACUCAAGCGAUGUUAUGUGUGUGGUGAAUUGGAUUUUUCUUUUGUUCGAAAGCUCGCAAUUGUUAUUGGAGAAAUUUGCAUUAGCAUUGGUAUUGGUAUUGGUCUUGCACUAGCAUUGGCACUGAAAUCAUGCACUGGUACUUGCAAUAGCAUCAUAUUCCAUGUAUAUGAUAUGUAUCCAAUGCGAUGUAUGGGAUAUAUGACAAAGGUAGAGUGUUAGAGAAUUUCUAUUGAUCAGUCAUGUCAUAUAGGCCCGAGUCGAACAUCCAAUUGCUUCAAUUUGAAUUGUUCUUUUUUCCGCAUUUCACCCAAAGUUUGAAGGGAGAUAAUGCAUCAAGUUGUUCAAAGGGUUCAACUUGAUCCUCUUCACCAGGGAUCCCAUAUGAAGAACCCUAGGAGAGCCGCUGAUUCCAACUACCAUCCAUGUACGAUCCAUACUAGAUUUGUCCAACUGCCCAUCUUACCUCCUUUACAUUCUUUGAUAGCCCAUAUGUCUUAGUAGAGUCUUUUCAGUGGUAUGUUUCGGUCCUCUUCCCCAUUACUUAGAAAAAGUGAGCCACCGAUUCAGGGUACAAGAUACUAUCAUUAUUGCCUGGACAAUUAGACAUCCAGCCAGUUAGUACUAUCCGUUUCCUUGCCUAUUAGGGUUAUGUUAGUUUUCUGUAUAUAUGAUAUUUUGUAACUCUAUAGUAUAACAAGUCUAGCAAGAUGUAGUCUUAUAGGUUAAGUAGUUGUCUCGGUGAAUUUGUAAUGUCGUAUUUCUUUUCGAUUAAUAAAUUAUUAUUCAUAGUUUAUAUUUCGUUUGUUCAUAGCUUACUCUACUUUUUAACUUUUCCAAUCGAAAUUAUAAAUCGUAGCAAUUGUUAGUAUGCUCCUUCAUGUUUGUAAGUAAAUCUUUUUUCACAUGUAAAUUACCCUUUUGUUGCUCAUUAAUCAUUAUAUAUCCUUUUGUUUACUUAACAGGGAACUGAAGAAAAUGAAGUAGUUACUUUAGACUUGCCAAGCUCUAAAAAAGCUAGUUUCCGUACAAAAGCUUUUGCCGGUAUGAAAAAACUGAGGUUGCUGCAGCUCAGUAACGUAGAGCUCACUGGAAACUUCAAACAUUUUACGAAAGAGUUGAGAUGGUUGUGCUGGCAAGGAUUCCCUUUCAAGUCCAUGCCGAAGCACCUUCUUAAUCAACCAAAACUUGUCGCUCUUGACCUGCGCUUCAGCCAACUCAGACAAGGCUGGAAGAAUUCCAAGGUACAAUCACCCCUAGCUAGUUCUAAUUAAUUCUCUCUUUCUGAUUUUAUUUUUAGCUUUAUUUUUUUUAAGCCAUAUUCUUGUUGCCCAUGAGCGGUAGGUCUCGGGUUCGAGACUUGGGAGCAGCCUCUCCAUAAAUGGGGGUAAGGCUAGCCGACAUUCACCUUUCCCAGAACCUGCGUAAAGCGGGAGCCUUGUGCACUGGGUACGACCUUUUAUAUUCUUGUUGGAUUUUAAAUAAUAUUUGCUUUUGAGUUUGUGCAGCCGCUCGAGAUGUUGAAAAUCCUUGAUCUCAGUAGUUCCCGUAAGUUAAAAAGGUCACCAGACUUUUCAAGGCUCCCAAAUCUCGAAGAAUUGAAUUUUGAAGACUGUUCGAGUUUGUCCGAGAUUCACCCAUCCAUCGGUCAACUUAAAAGACUCACUUUGGUGAAUUUUGAAUACUGUACUAAGCUUAGGUAUCUUCCAGGGGAAUUCUAUAAGUCGAAAUCGGUUAAGACUCUUUAUUUUACCUACUGUUGGAGACUCAGAGAACUGCCUGAGGGCUUAGGGGAGAUGGUAGAAUUGAGAAAAGUUAGAGCACAUGAUAUAGGCAUAACACAAAUACCCUCUUCCAUAAUGAGAUUGACGAAUCUCAGAGAACUAAUUCUCUCAAACUGCAAUCUUAUUGAGGAUGUACACCUCAAGAAUCUUGGGAGUCUAAUUUCUUUAAAAGAUUUGGAUCUUGGUUCUAAUAGUUGUCGUAGCCUACCCAGCCUUAGUGGUCUUUCAAAUCUUGUAAAUUUGACGUUGGAUCUUUGCAGAAAUCUUCGUGCAAUCCCUAGUUUACCAACAAAUUUGGAAUCGUUGUCUGCAAUUGGCUGCCAUGCAUUGGAAACAAUGCCAGACUUUUCUCAAAUGUCAAAUAUGAGAGCACUGUAUCUAACUGAUUCUCCCAGAGUCAGAGAAGUUCCAGGCUUAGGCUUGGAUAUCAUUGAACUCUAUGGCAUGGCUUUGUAUGAAAGGGUGCACCAAUCUCACUGCUGAGUUUAGGGACAACAUCAUACAGGUCUCUCUCUAUCUCUGUCUCCUCAUUCUUGUCUUUCUCUGUCUAUCACACACACAAACACAAAUGUGUACAAGAAUUUGACAGUGCUAUAUUAUGUUGUAUAUAUAUUAUAGCGAUGGACUUCUUGCGGAAGUGGUGGCAUUUAUUUGGAUGGGAUUUAUGAUAUUCCGGAGUGGUUCGAGUUUGUCGCUGACGGCAAUAAAGUCAGUUUCGAUGUUCCUCAGUGUGAUGGUCGUAAUUUUAAAGGGUUGACGCUCUGCUGUGUUUAUUCGAAAAUCAAAGAAAAUUAUCAUCCUCUUGACAUUAUUGUUGUAAAUUGUACCAAGCAUACUACUUCGAGGGCCUUUUGGCCUUCCUGGGGAUCACUAGAGGAUUAUUUUUGGCAGGGACAAUUAUCGAACGAUAAGCUCAAGCUCAGUUUGCAAGAUGGGGACAAGAUUGUUAUUCUUUUAGAAGGUUUUAGAACGAGACCAAAGAAAACAGGGGUAAAUCUAGUAUGGGCCAAACCUUUGAAGGAAAAUAUGCAUGGUUCGCCUGAUUAUACGUACACAUCUGAAUCUGAACCGCAUCCGGAUUGGUUGUACGAUGAGUCAGUCCAGGACCAAGCCAUGACGACUACUAGAGAUGAAACCAAAUGACGAGAGAGCAUUAUCAGUUGCUAUUCUUGCAUUAUACUCUCCCCCAGACGACGUCAGCGUCUUUCUUGUUUUCCCAGCUCGAUUAUUCGGACAUUUGAUUUGAUCACGUUCAGCAGAUGAUUUGUUCCUCAUUUUACAGAUAAUUCGUUUGCGAUAUUGACUAGUUGUUCAGUUGUUAAUUGUUCUAUGCUUUACAAAUAUUCAUAUUCUCUUGUGGAACUAAAUUAUUAACAUCAUACUUCUACUUUUUCGGUCCUAAAUCAAAAUUUUAGAUUGAAUGUGCAGUUAAUGACGAUGGAUAGAAAUCAGGACUAUAAUCUCAUUGUUUCCUCGUGGAAUCCUUUCUAACAACUCCUCUGCUUCGUCUAACAGUACUCCAGCAUGGCCAAGAAGGUCGGUCAGAAAACCAUAGUGUUUCUAACCUCCGCUCAAUCUCUCAUUUAUCUCUCUCGUGGAGUUGAAGAACUCACGACCCUAAUCUAACAACCCUCUGUGAACUCGAGCAGUUAAGACAGCAAUGAAGGUGAGAUCAUCAAGCUUCAUGCCAGUGUGUACCAUUUUCGAGAACCACUCUAUUGGUUUGCUUGUCUUGCCAUUCCUUGCAUUGCAAGCCCACAAAUGAUUGAAGUCCAAGAGGCUGCUUCUUUGUCCCUAAUCCAUUAAAAAUCUCCAAAGAUUUGUCUAUGCUCCCCCAUUUCGCAUACAUUUCCAUAAGCCCGGUAGCAAAAACUGCAACAAAUUUUAUACUGUUUUCAUCUAUGUACCAAAAUAUUAUUUAAUUAUUUAAUGUUUAAUUUUUAAGUGUUUUGAACAAACUUUGUAAGAUUUUUUAAGUGUGAAUUUGAAGUAAAAUAAUAACAAAUGUAUGAGAUUGAAAUGUUUAAAAAAUGUUGUAUGAAGUUACAAUUGCAUCCAAACUUAGGCACAAAAUGUAAUUUACCCUUUUUUUCCGUUGGAAAUUCAAUGAUCCUGAUCAACAGACCACAAAUGGGAGCCUUUCGGCUUGUUGGCUUGCACGUGGGGGGCUGUCUGCUGCCGACGUUGCUGAUGGAAGUUGGCCAUUGCCAGCGGGCUCAGGCCGAGGCUUGAAUUGGUAGGGCAGCCCAACGGGGAUCAUGGAGCCCAAAUAGCCCCCUAUUUUCUUCUCCGCUACAGCUGCAAUUCUUGACCCAAGACAAUUUAACCCAAUUGCCCGGCCAAUUUUAGUAACGGUGGACUUGCUCCAAUGCUCCCAACUGAGCACUGCCCGUGAGGAGAGCGACCGCUGUAAAUUUAUCCCAUUUAACUCUUCUAGGUUGCAUCUCUUGGAAUAGAACCACCGCCUCGUCAAAACGGUUGUAUUGCACUUUUACGUCCCCAUUAAUCAUAGCCGUCCAGAGAACAGCAUCCUUAGUUGCACUCCCAUGUCCCAUCAACACACCUCUAUGGCCUCAUCAACCCUACACAAUUUCCAUAGCCAUACACCAUACUAGUACAACAGAACACGUUUUUCACCGCCCCUUCAUACAAAAUUAUCCAGCCUUCAAUCAAACAACCACAAUUUACAUGCAUAUUUGACAACGCAUUUCCAAUUUUAGUAGUGAAUUCAUGCUGACUUCUAAAGUAGUCAUGAAUUUCUUCCCAAGCAACAAAUUUUUCAACUCUGUGCAAGCCGAAAGGGUGCUUGCAACAGUAACUUCAUCAGGCUUCUCCAUGCUCUCACAUCGCAUCUGCCAAAACAUAUCCAAAGCAUCCUCAAACCUCCUGCACCUAACAUACCCCAAAAUCGUAACGUUCCAACAAAGCCUGUUUCUUUCGGGCAUUUCAUCCAACGCUUGCCAGAAACUCUCAACCAUGCCCAUUUCCGGAUACAUGUCAAUGAGCGAUUUACACAUAUACGCUUCAAACCCUGUUCCAGUUUUUACCACAAACCCACGAACCUUUUUACCUUCACGAACAUCUCCCAAGCAUCCAAUGGCUUUCAAAACAAAUGGGUAGAUGAAAUUAUAACGUGAAAGAUUGACCAUUGUGCACAUUUCAUUCUCGUAGGUGCGUUUGAUAACCAUUUCGUUUUUAGUUUUCAAUUUGUUUUUACAUUUUUUUGAAAACUGAAAAGAAAAAAUUAAAAUCGUGUUUGAUAACUACUUUCAAUUUUCAGUUUUAAAAAAAUGAAAAAUGAAAACUGCUCAAGUUUUUAAUUUUGGCAUUGAGUUUUUUAUUUUCAAUUUUCUUUUUUUUUUAAAACUAAAAGUAGUUGCUAAAUUAGAUUUCAAUUUUCAAAAAAGUGAAAACUAAAAACCAAAACAAAGAACUGAAGGCAAAAAAACUAAAGCAAAAUGAUUAUUAAAGGGUCCUUUAGCUUUUGCAAUUUACAGGCUUAGGGUCCUGAAUGCUAAAAACAACUUUUCUUCUGUUCAAUAUUGGACCUUAAGUUGGGCUGAAAGAAUGGGAAUUGUUUUAGAUGCUUCAAAAUGAACCAAGAUCUUCUCCUGAGCAAUUCCCUAGGGAUCCUAAGGAUCCUGCAAUCAUGUUCGUUCAUCGUAUAUCGUGUGGUCAUAAAUCAUUUAAAAUUUAAAUUUUAAAAUUCAAAUAUGAAUAGUACUUAACGAAAACUGAUCGCACGAUAUAAAAUAAACAGACAAGAUUGCGGGAUCCUUAGGAUCCCUAGGGAAUUGCUCAGAAGAGGAUCCUGGUUCCUUCAAAAUGGCUUCAAUCAUUUUUUUGAAAGUAUUAAAAAAUUGUAAUUUCUAUGCUAAAGUUACGUAUGAGUACAUAAGGAAUUACUAGCAUGCAUCUUUCAAGCAGUAAAUCAUUACAAACACCAAAAACGACAUUUUCAUUCUGACUCAUUGAAUGGCAUAUUUGGUCUCAUCUUAUGAGGGGUAUGGUUUGGAUCGUUCACUCAUUGAGUUGUGUGCACCAUUUAAAGAAAGAAUGACUAACAUGCAUCUUUUAGGCCGUCACAUGCUUUUUUAAACUAAUGCUACAAUGUCAUGUAAAUAUAUGACAUCGACUUAAAGUGUUUUUGUUAAAUAACUGCAAGGUUAUAAUUGAAAAUAAGCGAGCUUGUACAAGAGACUUUGGAUGAGAAAAUGAAGUUAAGGAGAAGAUAGAGGUGGGAUGACGAUAUUGGGAAUUAAUAUUUUUUUUAAGGGUGUUUAGGAAGAAUGGUGCGUGGCGGGGAAGUGGGUGCCAAAAUGAUUUUAUUUUUUAAUUUCAUUCGAACUUCUAUGCAGCCUCAGGUGGCAAGUCUUCAAUAUAACGAUAUUGUUAUCAAACUUCUUGUUCCACUGUGGGAAACAGAAGUAAAAUAUAAAAAAAUUCUAAUGUGGAACCAAUUAAUGGAGGAGACAAAAAGAAAGUAGAGAGAGGAGAAACCCAUUUAAGGGUUAGUAUCAAUUGAUCCUUCGGAUCCAGACAGAAAGGUUUGGAGAUGAUCCGAGAUUCGAAAUAUUAUAUUCUAUUGUAGAACUAAAUUAUAAUUUUAUUUUCUUAUACAACACAACAAUAUAUCUACUUUAAGAAAAGUUAAAGAGAAUAAAUUUGAUUACAAACUCAUUAUUUUCAACAUUUGAAUAUAAGAUUACGUAUGUACAAAUGAAGAUGGAUAACACAAUACUGUAAUAGUAAGUGAAACUAAGGUAUUAUGAUCAUAGCUUCCCUAGUUCACAUACUUAAAUGCAAAUACUAUUUGCACAUUUCAUUUUUAGCCAUUAGAUAUAUCUCAACGGCUAGCGUUAAAAGUUGAACUAACUAGCUAGCUUUGAUAUGAAUUGAAUAAUUAAUGUACUAGAUAGUAGGAUUGUUCGAUCCGUUCGAAAUUUUUUGUCAAGGGUCGAACUACUUACGAUGUACCUUUAAUUUAAAUCAAUUAGUUGUUGUCUAUAAUGACAUUAAUAUAUUGAUCUUAUCAUUAAAUGGAGGAUGCGAGUGGUAGAAUUAAUAGGCAAAAUUGUAGUUAACUUGUUAGUAUGUAAGAGAUACUGAUUCUAUGUUUUCAUACUAAAAAGUACCAUAAUAUAUAUAUGGAGAGGCGAGGAGUACUUAGAGACUAAUUAGUGGUAAUGGAGUGGGCUGAUUAAUAGUAUCGUAGGCACGUGAUACUAAUUAACAAGUUAUUCUGGAAGGAUUAAACCCCAAUUAAGCAGAUUAAAAAAAAAAAAAUAGGCACUACCCACUGGUGCGAUUGGGCACACUGGCAGGUAGCAAUGGAAGGAGCUCACCAAUAUUGGACAUGUGAGCUGAGUACACGUAGGUGUUGUAUAUAUUUGUCUGCAUUGGCUCUGUCCACCUUUUCCUUGCCCUGCCCGUCAUGUGCCACUGUAACCCUACUUUCUCUACCUUGAAUAGUUUCACUGUUGAAUUUGAUUAACUGCAAGUCGUGGCCUGAUUGAUUCACUUUAAGUUACAAACUGUAACUUACUAUUAACAAAUAAUGAGUCCUUACACCCGCCAUUCAUAUACAGAAGAAGGAAUGUAAUGAAACUAAUGUCUUUGGAGCUGCAUGCUUUUUAAUUUGUCAAGAAUUCAGAGAAAACUAGCAUUGAUAGUUCUAAGCCAAUAGAUGGUACUCGCAUACACUCAACUGAAUGAAUGGUCAAUCUCUGAUAAUUUGAGGCUACACGGUUUUUUAUAUGUUUGCUACAUACGAUAUUAGGAAAGAGGGUUGGGUAAACACUCACAAUUGGUCAACAGUAAUUUAUGAUCGAACCUGCAAUUUGUGAGAAUCGCACAUAAAACAUCUCACUUACAUAUGUAGAGAAUACCUUAGAUAGCAAUCGUAUUGUUGAAAAUAGAAAUUAUACCAUUUGAAAAGCAUUUUAAUUUUUAGUUUCUAACUUUUUAAAAUUUGAAAAUUGAAAGCUAAAUUUUAAAAACUCAAAAAAAAUUCUUUUUAAGAUUUGGUUUUCAAUCUUAAAGAAAAUAUGAAAAAAAAAUUUAAAAACGAAACAGUUACUACACAAUCAUUUUUUUUUUUGGUUUUCAAUCUAAAUAAAGUAAAAAUAAAAACUAAAGCCAAAAUAAUUAUCAAAUGAGACUCUCUUAAGGUUUGUUUGGAAUUGCUUCUUUAAAAAAUAUUAGUAGAAGCACAUUGUGUAAUACAAGUAUAUCAUAUUGUGGUUAUUAAAAUACAAGUAUAUCCUAGAAAACAACUCUUAAAUUAGGGUAAAUUAUACAAAAUUACCUCAACGAUUAGGCCAAUCACAGUUUUAUACCUCAUCUUUAAAACAUUUCAAUAUCAUACCUUAUCUUCGAAUUUAUUGCAAUGUCAUACCUUCCGUCAGUUUGUCUGUCAAUUCCUACGUUAAAUGUUGACGUUGACACACUCCGACCCUAAAAUCAGGGCGUGUUGGCCGUCACGUGGGCGUGACGUAACCAAAAGUGUGACGCGGAAGCAAAAAGGUAAAAGAAAUACGAAGGAAUAAAAACCAACUACUAGCAAUAAUACCCAAUUAACAUGCUAGAGUAAGUUUAAGUGUGGAACACACAUAAUCAGAGCAUAAGCACUAGGUGCAGUCAAGUAAGACCAUUCCUAAAUUACAACACCCAAAGGUGAGUCCUACAUUUAAGUAAUCUGUCAGAACGCCGUGGGAAUCCUCGUGAGCCACCAACACUGCUAACUAGAACCUGGAGGGGCGCAAAACAAGAUUGAGUGGGUCAGUAAAACAAAAUUUUUCGAAAAUAUUUCAAUUAAUAACACUUCUAACCCCUAGUUGUAAAACCUGUAUACUUUCCCAGAAAAAUAGUAUAUAUAUAACCAUAUAUAACAACAAAUAACUCAAAUCACAAGUCUUUAACACUUUUCAGGAAAAUAUGCCAUGCUAUGCUUCAAAACAUAAUAAGGAUGCAUCAAUAUAACAGAUGAAAUAAGGAAUCAACCGAAGACUCUGCAGCUGUCCUAUACGGCUAAUUAUAUAGCUCAAUAUUCAAUCCAGCCGGAGUCACCAACUGUGACCUGUACGGCACUACUCUGCACACAAAUCGAAACUACCUAAAGUAGUAUGUAUAACAAGAAUGGUGUAAGAAUACGCUCUAGUGCUUCUCUCAUCAACAACUGUAUAAUAAUCUAAAGUCACCUACAAGUCGGAACCACCUCUAAUGGUCUGUACGACAUGCCGGAACCACCUUUAAUGGUCUAUACGACAUGCACCUACUUGGAUCCAAGGUGAGCGUGUGGUGCGGGGUGAAUAAUAUAAGCACUAACACCAGGGGUGCAAGUUAUGAGCUCUCAACAUAAAUCACAUGAACAACAUAAAACUCAGCUGAUACUCACAUGUGCGUCCACAUCACCAUUUAACAUAUAUGCAUCAAAUACUAGUUCAUAUAUUUUAUAUAAUAUGCAUGCAUGGCAUUUGAAAACAUACUUUCAUUUAAAUUCAAUUUUUGGGAAAAAUCAGUAGUAUAUAGGUAUAUACAGAAAAUAAAUGCCCACUCACUGGUAAGUUGAAUGGUCAUAACCCCCGUGACGUCCUUGAAUGCGCUCGUCCUCGGGAUAGGUAUCACCUAUAUGCGAAACAACUAUAAAAACGUUAUUUUAAAGCAUAUAACCGACAAUACGUAAUAACUUCUCAUACGAUGCUCAAUUUGGGUAUAUGAAUAUACCACAGUGACCUACUCGACGUCACGGACAUCGAGAUAUUUUUAGAAUAAUUUUUCAACGCCGCACGCGCCCCCACGCCCGUCAUCCCCUACCUCCAGACGCCGGAAAAUCUCGCCAGCGCCGGAAACUGGGCAGACCUGCAAUCGCCCUUUUCUCGCUCGAUUUUGCACCAUUUUCCACGAAAUUUUCACCAAAACUUCACAAAUUUCAAGAGAAAGAAGGCUAUACCUUUUUAAACUUCCAAAUCCUUCGAAAACUCGUCUGGAAAUUUCUACCAAAACCAGCCACCUUCGAACCUUGUGAUCCCAAUGUCCAAAACCUUCAAACGAACGUCCCCGAGCUUCGUGGGAACCUCCUAGAGCUCACUAUGAGCUUGGAUUGUCCUAAAAACCAACCAUUCAAAAGUUCAUGAAUAGUGUUCAACUCGGAGCUUGAGUUUUCAACGUGAUAACGAACGAUUCCUUACCCAAAAUGGGUACCAGAGAGUUCGUGUGGUCUCCAGGAGCACGAUGGUGGUCUCAAACACGACGAUCCGUGAAGUUUUGAUGGUCUUUGGGUGUGGUCCGUACUAGUUCGAAGGGAGAGAGAGAAUGGACUGAGAGAAAGGAGAGAGAGAACGUGUGGGAGAGAGAGAGAAAUCUGAUUGGGUAUGUGUGGUCCUCCUAAGUCCCUAACCACACAAAAAACACACAAUUUAAUCCAACUUAAUUUGUUUUUCCAAGAAUUUAGGAAGGUAUGUAAUAUUCGAAUAAACAUGUCACACAUACCUUAGCAACCUUUAAGGGCAAUUCCGUCAAUUCACAUCAACGAUAAAUACAAAUUUCGGGACGGGCUGUGACAGACAGGGCCCAAUCCUUAUUAAAAAAUUAAUUAAUUAUUAGGGUAAAUUACAUUUUACUCCUUCAAGUUUGGGUACAAUUGCAACUUCAUACAACAUCUUUAAAACAUUUCAAUCUCAAUCAGAAACUUGUAUUUAAUUCCAAUUUCAUACAUUCGUUAAUCAAACCGUCAGUUUGACCGUUAAUAAAGAUGUGUCAAGUGCAUGUCCCAUUCUUUUGCGGAUGUGGCAGUCAAUAGUAUGUCAUAUAGGAUAGAAAAGUAAUUUUAUUUAGAAAUGUUAAUCUAAGAUCAUCUCCAAUCCUCAGGUUAAAAUCUAAAAUUUUUAGCCUGGAAAUAAUUUUUCUCCUCCAACAUUUCUGAGUUAAAUAUUUAGCCCGAUAUUAUUAAAGACUGAAUUUAGGAUAAUUUCUUUCUUAAAGUAACUUUUUUUUCUAAAAAAAAAUAAAUUAGGUAGAUUAUCCUAUUUAAUUUUAUGAACACUUUAACCUAAAAAUAUUUAGAUUCCGAUAAAUAUUGAAAAAUCACUAAACUGACAUCAUGAAACUCGUGAAACACUACAACAUAAUUUUUUUUUUAAUUACUUUAGCCGUUAGAUUUAAAUUUGGACUGUUAUAUAUUCUUUUUUACCGUUGAAUUUGAUCAAAUUAGAUAUUAAUUGUUGGAUUCAAUUCAUUUAUAAAUAUGAAACUAAAAAAACUAUACUAGCCCUACUAACCAAGGGAAUCAUGGGCUAAAUUUUCCAAAAAUGAGUUUUCUGUUUUAACUCAUAUUUGCUCCAAGGCUUGAAGCAAGUUGGGAUAAGUUUAGAACCUAAAAUUUAAUUUGUUUUCAAAUAAUAGUGGGCCCACCCCUUACCUCUACACUUAUCUUCAACCUCUCUCCAUCAACCCUUCCCCCCUUCAGUCAUAGUCGUAACCCUUCAUCUAGCCACACCUGUAACAUCCCACAUCUCUCAGGGGAGUGGAUCAUGUAAGCCUUAUAUGUAUAUUCUCAUCUCUACUUAGCACGAGGCCUUUUGGGAGCUCACUGGCUUCGGGUUCCAUCGGAACUCCGAAGUUAAGCGAGUUCAUGUCCCAUGAUGGGUGACCCACUGAGUAGUUUUCGUGUGAGUUCCCAGAAACAAAACCGUAAGGGCAUGAUCAGGGCCCAAAGCGGACAAUAUCGUGCUACGGCGAAGUUGAGUCCGGGAUGUGGUAGGGGCCCGGGCCGGGAUGUGACAAUUUAGUAUCAUAGCUAAUCCUUGGCCGGAAGUGUGCCGACGAGGACGUCGGGCCCCUAAGGGGGGUGUAUUGUAACAUCCCACAUCACCCAAGGGACUGGAUCCUGUAAGCAUUAUAUGUAUAUUUUUAUCUCUACCUAGCACGAGGCUUUUUGGGAGCUCAAUGGCUUCGGGUUCCAUCAAAACUUUGAAGUUAAGCGAGUUCGCGUGAGAGUAAUCCCAUGAUGGGUGACCCACUGGGAAGUUCUCGUGUGAAUUCCCAAAAACAAAACCGUGAGGGCGUGGUCGGGGCCCAAAGUUAACAAUAUUAUGCUACGACGAAGUCGAGCUUGGGAUGUGGUGGGGACCUGGGCCGGGAUGUGACAACACCUUCAUCUCCCUCCCCGUCACUACCAAGUCAUCAUCAAUAUGCCCAGCCGUCUUUCCUUUAGAUGUGGUGGAGGAGGACAAAACCUACGAACCAAGCUUGUCCAGACCCACCCCAACCUUAUCCCUUACUUUGAACCCGUUGUCGAGCACGACUCCUACUUUCGAUUGCUCACCAAAUCCAAACAAAAAGAAGGAAAUUAAAAAUGGAGUUCCUAUAAAUCUUGAGCUUUUGUCAUAGUUUUCCAUGCCUAGUCCUACUUAUUGCCCAAAUGAAAAUCCAUCGUUAUACCAAAAAACAAUUGCAAACAAAUUCCUCAAUUUCAAGAAAUUCUUCAUAACAUCAAACACAAAAUACACAUACUAUCUACUUAGAUCCUCCUAAUCAAUCAAGCAAUUAGAUUCUCAAAAAUAUUCUUAUCAAGAAAAUAUUAGUAUCCGGAGGCAGUGGGUUUCAUACGAAUUGGGUCAAAACCCGCGGAAUCGCCGAGUCGAACUCGACGGCGAAUUAAUAUCCAAGAAAACACAUUUUUUGGGUUAGUAUUUUGCAACGGCAACUAGUGGUUCGAGUUAUGGAGUGACCCUGAGUUAUUGUCAUUGGAAUCAGAGUGAAAAUGGAGAUGAAGACCCCGAGUUUGAUUUGAGUGAGUGGCGCGACGGCGACAACUUGGUCUCACCUCUUCUGGAUGACGGGAGGUUAAGAUGGAGAAAGGGCGGCGAGCUUGGAUUUAUUGUGACGGUGGCUCCAUGGCAGAAAGAAGAAAGGCAAUGUAGGGCUGCAGUAGGAGUCGAAGAGAGAAGGCAGAGGGUUUUUCAAAUUUUAAAUACAUUAUUAAAUAAUUAAACAUUUCAUUUAAUUCAUUUUUGACACAUGGCAUAUGAUAGAUGAUUGUAAUUUGCCAUAUCAUUAUUUAACAGUCAAACUGACAGUUUGACUAAUAGAUGUAUGAAAUCGCAACUAAAUACAAGUUUGUGUAUGAAAUUGAAAUGUUAUGAAGAUGUAGUUGCACCUAAACUUGAGGAGGUAAAUUGUAAUUUGAUUUAAAUAUUAAAUACUAAAAAAAACAUAUGGGACCCAUUCUUACCACCCAUCACCCUCACCUUUCCUCACCACCACCUCAUCCAUCCCUCAUCCCUUACCCCAUCCGUUCUUCCCCUCCUCCUUCAUUCGCCUUCCCCAUCUCUAUAUCCCUUUCAUCGAGACCUUUUACAACAGCAUCCUCGGUGUCAUCGUCAUUAUGGAAGGCGACACCACGGUGGGCACCAACACAUUGGGUCGAAUUAUGCAUGCUGAGGUCGAGGAUGGAGCCCACGCACACGACUUGGCCGAGUUGCUUCGUCGGCAGGGGAUCGAUUUCAAGUUGAUCUAAUAUUCGGAGUGGACUAGAUCCGGUUCGCGGAACUGAUGUUGUCUUCGGGGCUCGUCUGCAACAAUGUCGUUAACUGGGUAAAUAGGCAUAGGCAUCAUUGGAAAAUAGACAUCGUUGGCCUCGUCGGAAAAUAGACAUCGUCGGCCUCAUAAAUCGCAAUAGAUCUGAGGUGCUUUUCGGGUAGGAGUGGCGGUGGUUAGCCCAGCUAACCACAUACGUGAGUGAUAAGGUGAAGGUUAUUAACUACAUUGCAAAGAUAAAUGAUUGGUACAAAGAGGAAGAGGAAGAAGACAGAGAGAAGUAAGAGAGAUUUUAGAGAAAGAGUUUAGAGAGAAAUAAGUUUUGUAUUGACAUCCUGAAAUGAAGGUUACAAAUACUAUUUAUAAAGAAAUCCUAACUACUUUAACCAAAUACUAACUACCUAACUAUAUUACUAACUGUAUUACAUUUGUACCCUUAAUACUCCCCCUCAAUCUCAACUGGGGUAUCCCAGUGUGAGAUUGCAGUAGAUUCGCAAAUAGCAAACACCGAAAUAUGGAUAAAUGGUUCAGUUUUGACUCAACUGCAGUCUCCCACUAUGGUGCCACAACUGACAGUUCAAAGUUCUUCUUAACUGGUCUGGCCCUAACUUUUGCAGACUUCCAAAACAACAGAUGUAAUACAGCAUCAUUAUGUUUACAUAUGUCAUCAAUAAGUCUCUGAUCUUCACGUAGUUUUCUGUCAUACACAACUUCUUGUUCUUCUAGAUCAACAAACUCUUUACUUUUAACAAACACAACACGGCAAACUCUACAAUCCUUCAAGCUUCAAGCUUUCAGCAAUGGAGAACAAAUGAAUACCACUGGCAUUGCAUUAAGGUCAAUGCCGCUCUUGCACUCCUGAUCUUGAUUAGUUCCACUGAUCGUCUUAUUGCUUUCAUCAAAGUGCAUAUGAGAACUACUUUUCCUUGCUCUCUGGUUCUCCGGUUUCUCCUUCAAUUCUCGGGUUGGAUGAUUUCUCUUGUUCACGCACCUCAGAUUUGUUUUAAGCCAGCAAAGAACAACCCCCUGCAAACCAAGCCUUUCAACAGCUACAACUCUAAUCAACUAAUAUUUACAGAAAACAUGGCUUCGUGCCCACAAACUUCAAUCAACUAAUCUAUACAAAAAACAUGGCUUCGUGCCGCAAACUUCAAUCAACUAAUCUAUACAGAAAACAUGGCUUCGUGCCGCAAACAAACAGGAACUGGCUUCGUACCGCAAACAAACAAUAAUGGCUUUGUACCCAAAGAAACAAACUUGAAAUGACUUCGUGCCGCAAACAAGGAAUAAUGGCUCGUGCCUCAAAGAAAUCAAUCGAUUACUUCACAAAAUCAAAGAAACAUACACUUUUGCAGGGAAUUGGCAGCUCCACCAGAUCAUCAAAGUAGUGGAACAGAGAACAGAACAUGGAUCAAAUAACACCAGAGAAGCACAGAGAGCUGAUAUGCAAACAACACCAAGAAGAAACCAUAAUCCAAAAUCUGCAGAUCCAAGAAUGUAGAGCAUAUAUCACCUCAAAUCAGGAAUACCAGAUCCAGAAAAAAACUUAUCGGAAUAUAUUGUGCACAACCCAAGCGUAUGAGAUAUAUGCACAAUAUCACCUGAUACGAAUCAAAUCUUUGAACGCAACUCACGAACACUCUGUCGAACACCUUUGUAGCCCAACCCUGAUUAACAUCGCUCAGAUCCAAAGCUACGGGCCAAGAACACCGUGAAUCGAAAUCCGUCCGUCAAGAAACAGAUUCGAGUACCACACUUUUUCUCUCGGACUUUUCUUCGAACACCUUGUGAACAUGACUUAAGGUACUUACUUGCCGACUUUCUUAGCAAGAUUAUCGUAGAAGACGAGCGGUUUCUCAGUGUUGGAGACCUAAAUUCUGAGGAACACUCCAAGAUCGUCGAGCAGUGUGAGGCCGGUGCCAGGAUCGAGUUGCUCACUGCUGAUGAUCGGGCGACUGUGCUUCUCGUCGUCGCCGUCGAGAUGAAGAAAGUAUUCUGAAGAUGAAGGAAGAGGAGAGGAAAAAACCAGAGACCCAAAAGUAAAAAAAAAAAAAAAAAAACUAUGAAUACAGAAGUAUAAACGAUCAAAUACACGAAAACGAAAGAAAUUAAUGAAGAAAGAUAGAAGAAGAAUCGACCACCAAAAUCCAUGACGUGAGCCUUGGUGGCUCUGAUACCAUAUUAACUACAUUGCAAAGAUAAAGGAUUGGUACAGAGAUGAAGAGGAAGAAGACAGAGAGAAGCAAGAGAGAUUUUAGAGAAAGAGUUUAGAGAGAAAUAGGUUUUGUAUUGACAUCCUGAAAUGAAGGUUACAAAUACUAUUUAUAAAGAAAUCCUAACUACUAUAACCAAAUACUAACUACCUAAUUAUAUUACUAACUGUAUUACAUUUGUACCCUUAAUAAAGGUGGCAGCGGUGGUGUGGGUUUUUUUGUUUUUUGUUUUUUGUUUUUUAAGGAAGGAGGAGGGGGAGAAACGGAUGGGGUGGGGGAUGAGGGACGGAUGGGGUAGGGGUGGCGAAGGGUGAGGGUGAUAGGUGGUAAGAAUGGGUCCCGCAAUAAUUUUUUUUAGUUUUUAAUAUUUAAUUAAAUUUUUAAUAGGAGUAGGAUCCGCCUCAUGCCAUGUCAGCAUUUAAUAGAGAAAUUAACAGACAAACUGAUGGAAUGUAUAACAUUGCAACAAAUUCAAAGAUAAGGUAUGACAUUAAAUUGUUUUAAAGAUGGAGUAUAAAACUGUGAUUUUCCCAAUAAUUGAAGUAAUUUUGUGUAAUUUAGCUCUUAAAUUUUAAUUUUACUGUCAAAUAUGAUUAGAAAUGUCUUUAAUAUUUUAUAAAUCCUUUUAAAUAUUUUAAAAGUACUUUUAAUAUACCUAAAAGUACUAAUAAUUUCUGAUAAGUAUUAACUAUAUAUUAAGUCUUUAGAUGUUGAGAAAUUGACAAAGACCACAUGCAUUUAUGGCACUAGUUGGGGCAGUCAAAACAUAAGGUACUGUUUGGUAAGUGGGACGAGAUGAAACGAAGUUGGAUGAUGCGUUUCGUUUCACGUUUGGUGUGCCUAAAAUGGGUGGAACACGUUGUUCCAUGGGACAAGUUUUGUGGUAUUUUUCAUUUCGCCUCCUCCUGGAACCAGGGUAUAAAAAAUCAAUAAUAUCGGCGAUAUUUCGCCGAUAUUAUCGUUUUUUUCGGAGUCCGAUAUUUACACACACAUCCAAUAGGUUUUUGUCAAAAAAUCGAGAUAAUAUCGCGAUAUUAGCGAUAUUAUCGUGACAUUGCUUGAAAGUCGACGCCGACGCCGAUGGAGUAGACGGCGACGCCGACGGAGGAGAGGUGGAGGUCGCGGGACUCACUAUCCGAACCAAACAAUUCACCAGCCCUAUAAUUCAUCGCUGAACCCAAAACCCCCAACUUUUCCAAUCCAAUCAAGUUGAGCCACGAAGUCGGAUCCGCCAGAGUCCCUCAGCAACCAAUCUCUCAGCCUGCUUCACAUUCACCCCUACAAUCCUCGUUUCUCUGAAGGGUUUCAAGCACUUCUCCUUCGCGAACCCGCCGCACUUCUCUUUCGUCGCCGUCAAACACCCCUCCAUUUCUCUCUCCUUGCACUGUUCUCUCUGCUUCAAGUCAUUCAAGUCUGUGACUUUCUGGCCAAUCAGAGCUCGCCACCACGGGGGCUUACACUUUUCCGAUGCGCUAAUGGCUCACGCGAUCCUGGCACCGGCCUCGCACUGCUCGACGAUCUUGGACUCGCAGGCUCUGUACGCGUUUGCCCAAGCUUUUGGGUCGCGAAACACCAGGACGUAGAGGUUGCGGGAUGAGCAGAGGGAGACGUGGACGAGGAGGAUCACGCCGAUUGAUCGAGAGAUGAUGUCUCUGUGUGUGUGUGGGAGAACUAGAGAAGGGAGAAGGGAAGGGAGAAAACUCAGAAGAGAGAAGGAAUGGAGAAGAAUCGAGAACUCAGAAGAGAGCGAAGGAAGGAUCGAGAGACUGAGCUCAGUCUCUGUGUGCGUGUGUGGUGUGGGGGGUCUCGAAUUUCGAUCUCUGUGUGUGUGGUGGCGUGUGAGAAAAAAAAAGAAUCCAAUGAUCCAAAUAAUUCAAAACCUGUCUCUAGCUCUCUGAUCCAAUGAUCCAAAUAUUGUACUAAAGUAUAAAGUGUAAAAUAUUGUACUAAUUCAUUAUAUAUAAAUGAUUAUGGUGUGUUUAGACUUCUUUCAUUAAUUACUACAUAUUUUCUACACUCACAAUGUUUGUCAGCUCGCUAUAUAAUCAACUUGAUAAUGUUAAAUCCAUCAUGCAAUGCAUUUCUUUCCAAUUUUUUGUGAUAAACUAAUAGAUAAUUGACUAAAUAAACAUCCUACAAAGUUUCAAUAAAAAUUUCCAAGUUUUUCUUACAAUUUCCGUGGUUUCCAUGUAAUUUUUAUCGAUAUCGAUAUUAUCCCGAUAUUUCCAUCGAUAUUUCCGUGUUUUCGAACUACCGAUAUUUCCGAUAUUACCGAUAUUUUCUUCCUUGCCUGGAACGACUUGUUCCAUGUCUGUGGAACACAAAUUUAUAACAUUUUAAGACAAAAACACCUUUUGUCUUUUUCAAUAUUUACAUCGUCCAAAUCCUAAAAACAAACCCUAAAUCCAUCCUCUGCCGCUGCUCUCUCUUCCCAUAUACUUCCUCCUCAUUCUUCUUCCUCAUCCUCUUCCGUUGUCGUCGACUGCACCCAGCCAACACGCAGCAGCACGGAGCCACUAUCUCUUCUUCUCGCUUGGGAGUUAUUUUUUAGGAAGAAAAGUCUAUAUGUUUCUUAGAUUAUAUGUAGGCGAGUAGCUAGUGUGUAUGAAAAAUGAAAUGAUGUUGAUCUUAUGAUGACAUGAUGUGAGUGCUCCGAAGAAUAAAAUCUUCCCUCCUAAAGGAACAAAUAAGAAUAAAACUAUCUCCAUCAGUCAAUUAUGGACACAUUAAAUAAUAAUAUUUAACAUGUACAUCUUGAGCUAAAAUCAUCUUACAAAAUUAAUCUUAAAGAACCUAACAAAAUUAAUCUUAAAGAACCUUACAAAAUUAAUCUUAAGGUGACAGCCAAAAUAAAUGGUUACGAUGAUAUACUACUCUUCACCCUUUGAGAUUAAUUUUACAAAAAAUCAAUUAAAUGAGUAAUAAUUUUAAUCAUUGAUUAGCGUUGUUAAAAUCUCAUUGUUUAGCUAAAUAAUAUAAUUUUUAAGGGAUGACCUCGAAAAUAUAAAAUUUAGAUCAUGCAUAUAACAUUGCAUAAUGAAAAACGAACUAAAAACAUAAAACCAAGAAGGUUACUAAGGAAAUCUAGCUAUUAAUUGUCUCUACCCUAAUAUUGAAAAGCAAAGAUCAGCCUUUUCUUCCAUGUGAAUAAAGCAUCUAUCACUUUCAAAGUUUCCAAUAUAUACCCACCCAACACAUUGCCAAGUAUCUCGAUCCUAACACAUGAAUGAACUCUGCAUGUUGUCACGAAGCUAACACAAUUUGCGCCAACGUGGCUUGCUGAAUUGUCAUUUGCGAUCCCUUCGUGGCUGGAUGACAAAGCACCACCUGUCUUGGACAAUGGUUCUUGCACAACCUUCAUGCAGCAGUCACACUCCCCACGCGAAGGCCUUGUGCAUAAAAGAGUUUAGCAUGCACCUUAUUCUCGUCCCUCGAUGUAUAUAUGAACUGACCUUCACAAUCUAAGUUAUCAUCAUUUGGACUCAAUCUAACUCUUUCUUUUUUUCACUUCCUUGAUAAAAAAACAAAAAAUGUGUCCCGUUUCAAAUAUUAGCAUUGCCUCGUGGUGCAAGAAGCAUGAAAAUGGAGAUGGUAGAGUCACUGCCAAAUUCGAGGAUCUUUCACCGGUAACAUGCUCAGAAGGGGACGGGGACGAUGACGAUGACGAUGAUGAUGAUGGCGACUAUGAUUUUGCUCCGGCUGCAUAAGUAUAGAUAGACUAGUACUACUUGUUAUUAACUUAAUUAGCAUAGCUAGAGUUAGCUCAAGUUUUGUAAUGAAGACUAUUAUAUUCUAUGGUCAGUGGUCACAUAUAUAAUAAUAUAGUAAACCUAAUUAUAAAUAAUUAGUAUUCACAGGGCUCUUUUCCUUCUGAUGUCAUCUUCAUCUACAUGUUCGUCCUGCGACAGGUGACCUAAUGUGUGUAUGUCAGGGUGGCCUUGCAAAAUACGUACUAUGUACGCAGCCAGAAAAAGGAAAAACCUAAUAACAUUAUUUAUUUCUAAUAUCAUUUAUUAAUCGUCUUUGAAAUUUGAAAGCAAAUUUGGUUGAUAAAUGAUGAGUCUAUCAAUUCUAUUAACUUAUAAAGUCUAAAACUGAGUUUUGUAAAAGGAAUAACAACAGGUCAAAUGAUUAAAUUUCUUGAAUUUCAUUUUCAAGGAUUAGUAUUGAAUAAUCUUGCCUUCAUAUGGUAUUAGUAUGCAGCCUCAAGUGGUAGCAAGUCGUCCAAUGGAAUAUUAAUAAUUGAGAAGAUACAAAAAAUAUUAUUCUCUUGUGGAACCAGAUAAUUAAGAGCAUAGUUCAGACUUUUUUUGUUGUAAUUAAAGUCAAAAUAUCGGUCAAUUUGAUAACUAUUUUAUUUUUUAUUUUUAAAUUUUAUUUGUUCUUAGAGAUGGAGGAAAAGUAUAUGAUAUAAGUGAGCAAUGUAAAAGGAUGAUGCGAUCAUGGGAAGAAGGAACGAAAGAGAAAACGAAAAGUGAAAUCAAAUUCAAAUCGCUUUUGGUUUUUUAUUUUCAUUUGUGUGUGGAUCUAAUAUAUUGUGAUAAGAAAGUUCUCUUAGGGCUGGUUUGGUAUUGCUGUACUUUGAAAAAAAACUGCUGUGAGGAUAAGUAGCUGUGCUAUGAGAAUAACCGGUCCUGAAAUAAAUUAGCAGAGUGUUCGGUAAACCUUUUUGUAAAAGUGCUUUUGAAAAAAAAAAGAAAUCUGAUAGUGGGUCUUUUCAUUAAAAGAGCACUGUAGCUCCAUGUGCUUUGAAAAAAAACCAGUUUUCCAAAGCUGCAAAUAGCAGUUUUGGCUUUUUCCUUUGAUUUCAGCUUAUUCUCACAGCAGCUUCCAAAAUAAGCUUUUUUUUUUCAGUUUACCAAACACCUAAAACUCUCACAGCUUUUUUUCAUGGGUGCUUUUUUUUAAUCACCUCACUCCCAAACCACCCCUUAGUUCAGCCAGUAAAAUGUGGGUUUCCAAAACCCGAUGCUAUAGUUUCAAUUUAUAAGCGUGAUUAUGUCCUAUAGACAAAAGCUGGUAAGCAUGGUAACUGUAUCGGUAGCCAGGGCUGCCAAAGAAACUAGCAUAGCGAAAAUAUGCUCUGACUAGCAAAAUAAAAAUAAAAAAAUUAACGAAAUGAUUAUCAAAUAAAAUAGGAUCAUAGAUCGGAGCAAUGAAAUUUUAAGAACAUCUAAUCAUUUAUUACAAUCCAAUUCGACCUAGGUUUUCUCUUUGUAACCGUUUUCUCAUCUAAACCCAAUAAUAAAGGCAUUAUCAAACUUUGCAACAUAAUGUACAUCUGUCUCAUUCCUGGGUGAGAGGGAUAGCCAACAAUAAACUCAUGGACAAUUCUAGUAACGAUAAUACUUGCAUUCUUACUUUGAAGAGCAAGUCCACCGGAGUAGACAUUACCUAGCACUCAGUCCAAAAAACAGCCCAGCACUCUGUCCAUUACCUCCAGUCGGCGCAACAGCCUGGGGCCCAGCCCAUGCUGGUCUCUGGGCUAGCUCAAAACUGACUGACCAAGAAACUAGGCAAGUGGCCACGUGGCAACUCCUUGGCUCUUGGAUUUGAAUAAUUUUCAAAUCCAACGGUUUAUAUUAAUUAACUAUAUUAAAAAUUAUUAAAAAAUACAGAAAAAUUAUUAAAAAAAUACAGAAAUUUUUUAAAAAUGUUAAUUUUUUUCUGUAAAUAAUAAAGUUUGUGGUUGAAGAAUAAAGUGUAUUAGAUGAGUUUAUGUAAUUUCAUUUUAGUGUGUUUUUUUUUAUAGUUCAUUUGAUGAGUUUAUAUAAUUUUAUUUUAGUGUGUUUUUUUUAAGUUUAUUUGAUGAGUAUGUAAUUUUAUUUUACUGUGUAUUUUUUUUAAGUUUAUUUGAAAUUUUAUCCGAAAUUGGUUAAAAAUCUUAUCCGAAAUAAACUUAAAAAAAAAAAAAACACACCAAAUAAAUGCAUUGGGUGCCAACGUAUUUUUUUAGGGGUGGAGAUGCCUUGGCCUAUUACUGUUCACUUGAGUAGAUAAAUGCGCUGGGUGCUAGCGCAAAGUCCUUAGAGCAAGUCCACCCCUAAGGACUUUGCGCUAGCACCCAGCGCAUUUAUCCACUCAAAUGAACAGUAACAGACUCCAAUGAACAUUAAUAGGCCAAGGCAUCUCCACCCCUAAAAAAAUGCGCUGGCACCUAGUGAAAAAAUGCGCUGGGACAAACGAUCUCCAUCCCUACAAAAUGGGCUGGCACCCAGCCCAUUUAAAAUAUUUUUAAAUUUUUUCUAAAAGAAUAAAAAAAUAAAUUAGUUUUAAUUUCGGAUAGGAUUUUUAACCAAUCUCGUCACACCACGUGUCAUUAUCUGAACGUACUAUUUUGUGAAUAGAUUUCCGCUAAGAUUUUCAACAAAUCCCGACACGCCACGUGUCACUUCCGUUUUACAAUAAUUUAGCCAAGAUUUCGAUAAGAUUUUCAACCAAUCACGUCAUGUCACGUGUCAUUAUCCGAACGUACUAUUUUGUGGAUAUAUUUCCGAUAAUAUUUUCGACCAAUCCCGACACGCCACGUGUCACUUCCGGUUUACAAUAAUUUAGCCAAGAUUUCGAUAAGAUUUUCAACCAAUCACGUAGUGCCACGUGGCAUUGUCCAGAACCUCAUCCUUUCUUUUUUUUUGUCCAUAUAAACCCUACAUCCCUAUAUCCAUCCUCACACCAAGCUCAAUCCUUCUUUUUAGCUCAGAAUCCUUGUUCAUCGUUUUCAAAUCUUGAGUUCUUAUUACAAUGUCUUCUUCAAGAAGGGUGUAUAAACAGUUGCAGGGGCAACAACAAAGGUUGUUGGCUCAACAGGCAAAAUUGGCCAAUCUCGAGGAAGGUGGAGGUGGAGAUGAGGCUUUCUUCAUGGAGGAGGAUGAGGAUGAUCACCAUAGAAGGCAGAAGGCCUCACAUUCCCGCCGUGUCAUGGAAGUCGUGGGUCAGAUAGCCAAACCAAGACGUGUUGCAAAUCUUGAUAGAAAAAGGGAAAAACGAGGUAAAAAUCUAUUGGAAGAUUAUUUUAUUCCCAAUAGCAUAUUCCCUUAUCAUAUUUUCAGACGUCGUUUUAGAAUGCAAAGAAAUUUGUUCAAUAAAAUCAUGAGUGAUAUUUGCAACCAUGAUCCAUACUUUGUGCAAAAAGAUGAUGUUUUUCAUGUUCUAGGUCUUGUCCCACUACGGAGGUUAAUGGAAGCAUGAGAGAUGGCGUUUUUCCAACAAGUAAAGGAUGCGUUGAGUUUUUUCCAAUGACCUUGAAGACCUUGACUAGUUCUGGCGUUUUCUCCAUGUACAUCGCAAAACGCUUUCGUAAUUUUACUCCACAUUUCUCGCUUAUCCAUCUGAUUACUCAUAAUCGGGUCAUGAGUAGUGUGAACCCAACAUUCACACAACGUAACAUCUUCAAUGAGCUUCCACGAAGACAUUUUUUUCUCUUAAAGUGUAGAAAAUAUUGAAAUGUAGAUAGUAUAGAAAGUGUAGAAAAUAUUAAAAUGUGGUGUAAAGGUAGAAGAUGAGGGUUAGGUAUUUAUAGGAAAAAAAUUAACAUUUUUCAAAAUUUUUUGUAUUUUUUAAUAAUUUUUCUGUAUUUUUUAAUAAUUUUUAAUGAAUUUUAAUAUAGUUAAUUAAUCUGGACCGUUGGAUUUGAAAAAUAUUCAAAUCCAAGAGCUAGGGAGUUGCCAUGUGGCCAACGGUCAUAUUUAUGACCGUUGGGCUUUUUUUUUUAUUUACUUUUUGUGAAAAAAACCUGGACCGUUGAUCUUUGAUCCAACGGUCUAUUUUAAAAGUAAAAUUUAAUUUUUUUUUUUACCGUUGGAAAUCCAACGGUCUAGAAAACUAGCCGUUGGAAAUCCAACGGCAUAAAGGAAGCUACGUCGCCAACUCGGGGAGGGGGGACUGAGUGCGCCUGCACGCGGGCCCGUGCUCUGAAACCUUGUCGGGCACUCACGCCACGACUGCGUGAAGCGCACGUGCCAGGCCAACUGCCCGGCUUCUGUCUCAGUCUCUUUUGGGCUGGUCCAGAGCCCAGCUCGAGCUAGGUACCAGUCAAAUGAAGGGGUGGACUUGAUUGACAGGGUGCUGGCCCUGUUUUUGUGGUGGGUCCUGGGCAAAGUCCACUCCGGUGGACUUGCUCUUAGGGGUGGGCUUGCUCGAAGGAUGAGCUCAUUAUUCAUUAAGCAAAGAAUGUAUAUUCAUCAUUCAAAUUUCAUAAUCGGAAUUAUUCAAAUUCUUAAUCUUCAUUUAAACCGCUAUAAGAUCAUUUGAAUUAGAGAUCAUUUAAUCGUUGAAAUGUAUAGAACAAAUCAACGGUGUAGAUAUCAAGUAAUACAUUCAUAAUGAACCGUUCAUUUAUUUGAUACGUUUGGAUGAUUAAACGAUUUUCGAUUCAAAUGAUUUUUUGUAUGAGUGACCUUAAAAUGAUGAUUAAGAAAUUGAAUGAUUUCAAUCAUUGAAUUUAUAUACUCAAAAUAUGUUAUUUGCAAAUGUAAGAAUAUGCGCAUCCCUUCAUGGGGAUGCAAGUACUAUCCUUUCAUUAAUCUCAAGAGUAACCUACACUUACCAUAUUUUUCAUGCCACAUUUGUACCACAUUUCUAAUAGAAGCAUGACUCACUAAUACAUGUGAAUUUCAUCUUUUUUAAAAUGUGAUACAAAUUUGACAUUAAAAUAUAAUAAAAGUAACACUUUUGUAUCUAAAUUUGAACUGCAUCUAUCCUGACACCCUCACCUUUUUAACCCUGCUUUUUAUUAAAACCUAAUGAUUUUUCUCCAAUUUCUACAUACCAAACUACAAAUACAAAUAUAACACUAAAAGAACAGUGAAUUAUAUAGAUGCUAUUGAAACAAAUUGCAGAACCACAUCCUUAAAUAAAGGCCAUAAAAAAAAAAGUUGGUUAGUUGAAUUGGACAUCAACGGACCUAAAUAGAUAAGCAAAGCAUCUAGGAUUAAACCUAAUAAUUGAUUAGGAUAAUGGUCUUAUAUAUACUUAACCCUUAUAUUAAACAAGUAGAAGAUGAAACACUCCAAGUUAGAAAAAGAAAAAUAAAUCCCAUGCGAAACCUCUAAAUUCAACCUUGGAUGUCUUUAGUUUGUAGGUGAAGAUAAUGUAGUAGACUCUGCAAUUCUGUGCUGGUUUCUUUCCUCCUUCCUUCCUCUUUCCCUUACCCUUGGUAGAAACUCAGUUUUCCGAUUGAUCAUGACAUUUUCUCUUAAGGCAGAUUUCUCCGAAUAUUCAAUCUUUGCCGUCCAGUAUUCAGAUCGUGUGGCCUGGCCUCAGUGGUUUUUCACUGGAAACUACCUUGCUUUUCUUCAAAAAGCGGCUUCCACUUUUACACUGUUCUAUUACUAUGUCGGAAGGGUUAGGUCAUCUCCAAUCGAAUGGUCCAGAGGGCCAGAGGGUCGAAAAUCGUAUCCAACCGAGGGUUAAGCCAGAGGGCUGUGGAAUAUGAGAGGGCCCCAUGGAAUCAGAAAGGGCUGGCUGCAUGCAGCCUACUACCCAGCCCGGGGUUGGCUAGAAAAAAUGAAAAUCCAGUUCUAACUGACAUGAAUACGUUCAUAUUAUUUAGUAUAAAUGUAUUAUUGUCAGUUAUACUAAAUAAGAUGAACGUAUUCAUGUCGAUUAGAACCGACAUGAAUGCUUUGAUUUUUUUUAACAGUUUUAUUUUUUUUUAUUUACAAAAUUUUUCCUAUAAUUUAUAUUUUUCAUAUUUUUUUUUCCUAUAACUUUUAUUUUACAAAAUUUGUUUCAUAUAUUUUUUUUUAAAUUCCAUUUUUUUCCUAUAACUUCUAUUUCACAAAACUUGUUUCAUUUUAUUUUAAAUUCUAUUUUUUUCCUAUAACUUCUAUUUCACAAAAUUUGUUUCAUAUAUAUUUUUUUUAAUUUGAUUUUUUUCCUAUAACUUCCUAAGCCAUUAUACAACAUUAAUUUAAAUUAAGUAACAUUAAACAACAUUAAACAAUAUGAAACAACAUUAAAUAAUAUUAACCAACAUAAAACUUAAACAAAAUUUAAGUUGUAGUCUUCAAAUAAUAAAUUAUGUUUGGCCCUCGGUUGGAUACGGUUUUUUGUGACAGGGCUAAAACGAGUCAUCUGGCCCUUUGGCCUUCUGUUGGAGACAGAGACAAAUAUGGUCAUGUAAUAUUCAUUAAAAUAUUAAUAUCUUGGAGGGCCAGAGAGCUAAAACAAGUCCUCUGGCCAGCCCUCGGUUGAAGAUGGCCUUACGGGACGACUAUUGUCUUGGUUGACUAAUGUGCUUUGCUUUUGAGAGGAGACUUCACUUGAGUAUCUCACUUAAAAUUCUAAAGAUGACCGUUAUAAUUUUUUUUGAAUAGGAGAUCAGAUAGUUAUUAAAAUAUAUAGUAUAAUUUAAUGGUAUAGAUAUAAAGUAACAUAUUCAUGAUUAACUGUUUAUUUAUUUAAUACGUUUGAAUGAUUAAAAGAUUUUCAAUUUGAAUAUUUUUUUGUACAGGUGAUCUUCAAAUGGUGAUUAAGAAAUUGAAUAGUUUCAAUUGCUAAGUUUAUACGAUCAAGAUAUGUUAUUUGUAAAUGUAGGAAUAUGUGCAUCCUUAAUGAGAAUGCAAGUAUUAUCCUUUCAUUAAUCUCAAGAGUAAAGCUAAAUUUGCCACAUUUGCAUCACUUAUUUAAUAAAGAUAGACUUUAUAAUUAACCAAUACAUAGAAAUCUCAUUUUUAUUAAAAAAAAAUAAUACAAAUAUAAUAUAAAAAUGUGGUAUAAGUAAUCUCAAUUUAGCUACAUCAAUCCAGACACCUUUUUGACUCCGAGGACUUUCAGUCCGACGUGCCGAUGGUAGAUAUUCGCUGGAAAGCGUGUGUAAGCUACCAGCCGCUUAGCAAUAAUUAUUUCUGCAAGCGCACUUUUCAAUCAACUCCUCAAAUCCCAUCCAUUGGUGUUCCUUUACACUGUUGCACGCGGCUUCAUCUUAAAAGCUGUUUUUCUCCGAAUCUUUUUCCGAAACUUCAAUGUUAGACGCGUUUAUUAAUCCGUAAUCAAAGAGGAGUUGAAUUGAAGAUGAAUUGGAUUGAAGAGAAAUUGAAAUAAGGUGGAAUCAGAAUCAGAUUCCUGUUAAAGUUGUUUACUAAAACUGUCUGGAAUCGGAGUAGAAAUGAUGUUGAGUCCAUAUGAGUUGCUUACUAAUUCAUUUCAAUCGGAAUGAAAACAAAGUUGAUUACUAAAUUGACCUUACAUAAAUAAAUUAUUUUCAAACUAAUUAAUUAAAUUAAAUUCUUAAUUAAAUUUAUAUAAUAAAAUUCAUCUAUAUAAAAAUAUAUAAAUAGGUUUUAUUUAUUUAUUAAAAGAUGGCAUAAUGAGUGUCAAAUGAAGGACAAUGUUAGGAUAAUAAGAAACAAGUGAGGGCAUAAUUGGUAGAAGAAAUCCAUUCCGGAUUCCUCAAGUGUCAAGGAAUUGAAAUACCUCCCUCAUGCAGGGAGUCAAAUUCCUCCAAAAUUAGGAGUUGGAUUCCUUAAUUCGUGUGGACCCCAUAUGUAUUUUGAUUCCCCAAGACUACGUAAACAAAGAUGUAUUCCGUAAUCGAAAUCCAAUUUUGUAAAUUGAUUUCGAUUACGGGUACGUAAACGUACUAUCAGUGAUCAGAUCGUGUGGCCACGGACAUCGUGGGUUUUCACUGGGAACGUUCUUGGUUUUCUUCAAAAAUUUGGGGCGGAUGCUUCUUGGAAAGAGCUAAAGAUUAGGAGCGGACACUUCCUGGAAAGAACCAAAAAGUGUCCCUUCAGUACUAUAUAUACUCUAAUUUGCAACACAAAAAAACCACUGCCAUCUUUUUUCCCUCGAUUGGAACCACUGUAGUGCAGUAAAAAGUAAUACCACCAUGACAUCCCAAGAACCCUCCUCCUCAAAACUCUGGAAGUACGACGUGUUUCUGAGUUUUAGAGGCGAAGAUACACGCAAUGGCUUCACAGGACACCUCCAUGUGGCAUUAAAAGACAGAGGCUACGAGGUCUUUAUUGACGACGGUCUGAAAAGAGGGAAACAAAUAAGAGAGGAACUGUUCCAAGCAAUCGAAGAUUCGAGGAUCUCUAUCAUUGUGUUCUCAAAGAGGUAUGCGGAUUCGAGUUGGUGUCUCGACGAGCUGGUCAAGAUCAUGGAGUGCAGAGAAAAACUGGAGCGAGUGGUUUUGCCAAUCUUUUAUGAUGUUGAACCUUCACUUGUGAGGAAGCAGGAGGGUUAUUUAGCCGAAGCAUUUCAGAAGCACGAAGACAGCAUCCGUGAAGAGAGAAAAGACAAGGAACGUGAAGCUAAGGAAGAAAGAGUACAGCAGUGGAGAAGGGCUCUUACUCAAGCUGCAGAAUUGUCCGGCCACCAUCUUCAAAACGGGUAAUCAUUUUCAUUAGACUUUGAAGUCAUUCAAUACUCGAUUAGUUUAAUACUACUGCUGCUAUCUAUUCGGCUUUUUCACAUUUUGAAACAUUUUAAUGAAUGGUUGUUAGGCAAAAUAGCACACAGGAAAAAUAGCUUCACUGAAACAUCAAGAUUUUCAAGAUAAAAUAUGGUUAAUGAUAGGGAGACUAUCUAUUUAAAACAUAUUUUUAGAAAUGCUUAAUUAAAUUUUAACUCCUAAUUUUAAAGUUGUUUUAAUCAAACAUCUGGGUUUUUAAGGAUUUUGAUUAUGACGCUUACGUACAUUAGGCCACAUUAGCAUUUUUCUAUUAUCAAAUUAAAACUAUUAUUAUAAUUUUCGAAAUUAUUAUUGAAAUUUCCUGCUAACUAAGGCCAUCUCCAACCGGUUGGCCAGAGGGCUCGUUUUAGCCCUCUGGCCCUCCAAGAUUCUCCAAGAUAUUAAUAUUUUAAGGGAAAUUUUAUUUAAACCCAUACAACCUUUUUUUACACCCAACUUAAAAUUUUGAAGGUUAAUUGUCUAUUUUAUCCUAUUGCACUAUUAAGUACAAAAUAAAAUUAAUAAUAAAACUCAAUUUAUCAAUAAACCCAAACAAUAUAAUUAAACCCUACAUUAACUUUAGCUUAGACUUACAGUUUGAGGCCACUGGGGUUUUUCCAGCAAAAAUAGUAUCUCUUCUAUAUGCUCUCGAUUCUUCCACAUGUUUUCGUCGACUGUAGCAGAGUCAAUUGCCCUAUUUCUUUGGGCAACUCUUUAACCUUGGAGUGUAUCAGGCUAAGAAUUUUCAAGUUUGUUAGUUGUCCAACAAGAGUUAUAUCAACCAACUCGCACUGAUCUAAACACAAUGUGUGGAGAUGCAUUAGGGAUUGAAGAGAUGGAGGUAGUGACUGAAUACGGAAUCUGGUUACAUCCAACACUUUGAGUUCUUUCAUUCCUUCAAAAAAUUUGCUUGGAAUUUCCUGGGAGUCGCCAACAUUCUUAUUCUCCAAGAUCAACAAUUUUAAUUCUGGGCAUUCCCAAGGUACUUCAGGAAGUAUGGGCAUUUUGCAAGAUCUUAAGGAGAUCAUAGUGUACUUUUUAAAUAAAUCCUCAGCGGGCCAUUCUUUCACCUCAUCUCCAUAUCCUUGAAAAGGCCUUUUUAUCAUCAGAUGCAAUCCAGAUAGCAACAUCUCGAACAAGCUCGUGCAUUCUAACAGUACGAUCGUCAUAACUAUCCAGCAAUAGGAAGAAGGAAGUUACAGUGGAAUAACGGAUUCAAUCUUAUAUCUGUUGAAGAAUCAAUGACACAGCCGAUAGCUUUUGAGUUAAAAAUUUAAUGGGUGUAAAAAUAAAUCCACAUAUUGAAUUGGGUUUAUGAGGGUAUAUUAGGUAUUAAAUUUGGGUUUAAAGAGAUACUAAUAGUUUAGUUAAAAAUCAAAUGGGUGAAAAAAGUAAAUUGGGUGUAUAAAUAGGUUAGAUGGGUUUAAAUAAAAUUUCCCAUAUUUUAAUGAACAGUACAGGGCCAUAUUUGCCUCCGUCUCCAACCGAGGGCCAGAGGGCCAGACGGCUCGUUUUAGCCCUGUCAAAAAAAACCGUCUCCAACCGAGGAUCAUAGGGCCAAACAUAAUUUAUUAUUUAAAAACUACAACUUAAUUUUAUUUAAAAAUCAUGUUGGUUAGUGUUGUAUAAUUUUUAUGUCGGUUAAUGUUAUUUAAUGUUGUUUCAUAUUGUUUAAUGUUGUUUCAUGUUACUUAAUUUAAUUUAAUGUUGUAUAAUGGCUUAGGAAGUUAUAGGAAAAAAUUAGAAUUUAAAAAAAAUAUGAAACAAAUUUUGUGAAAUAGAAGUUAUAGGAAAAAAUGGAAUUUAAAAAAAAAAUAUGAAACAAAUUUUGUAAAAUAGAAGUUAUAUGAAAAAAAUAUGAACCAAAUUUUGUAAAAUAUAAGUUAUAGGAAAAAAAUAGAAUUAAAAAAAAAUUGAAACAAAUUUUGUAAAAUAAAAGUUAUAGGAAGUUAUAGAAAAAAAAAGAAAAAAAAAAAAGGUUUAAAUUCAUAAAAAAAAAAAAAAAGGAUUUACAACGGGUAGUGGCGCUAGCCGUUGGAAGUUUGAAUUCAAAAUGUUAUUUCUGUCGGUUGUAACCGACAGAAAUAAGAAACAUUAAAAAAAAAAUAGCCAGCCCGGGGCUGGCUAGCUGGCCGAAAGCAGCCAGCCCUCCAGCCCUCCAGCCCUCUUCGAUCUCGUGGGGCCCUCCCAGAUUCUCGAGCCCUCUGGCCUAGCCCUCGGUUGAAGACGGUUUUAGGGCUAUUUUCGGCCCUCUGGCCCUCUGGACCCUUCGGUUGGAGAUGACCUAAAGUAUUUUAGAAGCUGUGGGCUCCUUUUUAAGAGAUAAUCAUGGUUUUUCCUUUUUCAUUCAAAAUAUUUAUCCAGUCAUUUAAAAAAAAAUUCGUACAAAAGAUUCUUUUUCUCCUAAAAUUCAAAUAUAAUCUUAUAAUCAAGAUAACGAAAAUGGUGGAUGUUUAUAUUUUUUAAAUUAUUAUGCAUACAUUUUAUUGAGAGAAUUAUUUGUAUACAUUAUUGAUAUGUUUACGAUUAGAAUUCCUAGAUUUCUGAUUAUAUUCAAUAUGAAUCACAGAUACGUUUAUUAUUAAUUUUCAUACUAUGAUUUUAUUUCAUAUUAUGGAUUGGUACGCUUGUUUUUAGUUUUUGGUAUAUUAAUUUUUGUACAUAUUGUUGAUUAGUACGUUUAACUAGAUACGUUUGAUUUUAGUUUUAGGUACAUUUAGUUUUUUUUUUUUGAACAUAUUAUUAAUUGAUAACUUUUUUAAACACAUUCAAUAUUAUCUACACUAAAAGAUGGGGGAGUGUUAGGCCUUAUAUAGAGUUAGCCAUAAUAAUUUUGUUCGAAUUUGCUUUUAGCAAGGCUUGAAUCUAAGACCUUACUUACAAGUGAGACGAAAUAACACUAAACAGUAGUAUUAAGUGGCAUCAUUAAUUGUUUGAUAACUUAAUAAUUUAAUUUGGAUUAAUACUAAUAAUAAUUUUGGUAUAAAUAAGACUAGAUUUAGGAGCUUUGGAUAUUAUUUUUGUAUCUUAGAAAGAAGACAGUUUUAAAAUGUGGCACAAAAAUUGUAGAAAGUACUUUAGUAAAAAGUUUAGAAGCUAGGGAUGUGUUUGGUCUAACAAAUUUAAAAAUUAAGCACCUAAAUCAAAAUUCCCUUUUUAUAAAUCAUAUGAUGUGAUUUUUUAUGAUUAAAUUUUUACUGGUGACACAUCUCAUGACUUACAAAUUUGACAUAAAAAAAUAAUGUUACUAAAAUGAAAUUUAAUAAUGUUACUAAAAUGAAAAUUUUGGCAUUGAAAGUUACAUAUACAUUACUCCAAGUCCAAGCAUCGAAAAAAUAAGGUUAUUUGUGGUUUAACUGAUAUUGGGCAUCUCUCUCCUAUAUAUCGCAAAUUGAUUUUAGGUUGAAAUCUGUGUAUCAAAUUGAUAUAUACUAGUUUAGUCGACUUGUAUAUGUAUAUAAUUGCACCAAUGAGAAACAUCAUAUUGUGCAGAAGUGCUAAAUGUGAAACCAAUAAAUUAAUACGGAAAAAGAGGACAAAAACGAACAAUUCAAAAUGACAUGAAGAUUUGUACUUGUUCGGCUUAAGCCUAUAUCCAGUCGGAGAAGGAGAGAAAACUUCACUAUUAAUCAAAAUGAAGAUUACAAAUAUAGUUUUAGCUCUCAAAUUCCAAAUCCCACAUACACCUAAUAACUUUCACUCAAACAAAAAACAAUUGGAGAAUAAGAAAGUACAUACCAAAUCUUUUCUCCUAAAAGCCACAAAAUACCACCAAUAUCUUUGAAUGAGUAAUUGUCCAAAACCACAAGAACAACAGCUUUCUUUCUCCUCUAAAGGUGUCGGCUGGACUCAAUCUCCCUCAACAACCGAAACAACAAGGGAACUUUAACGAAAAGCACCCGGUACUGUUCAUUUUAACGAAAAACCACAUUUUUACACUAAAAAAUCAAUCUUGGUACUAUUCAUUUUACCCUUUAUUUUGUUCUUAUCAUUAAAACUCAAAGUUUUCAAGUCAUUUUCAUUAGUUUUCCUAAACAAAAUAAAGCAUCACAUGCCUUAUAUACUAGCUGCUGCAAAUACCCAAGCCACUCACGUGGCAAGCACAUGGUCCAAACAAAAGGAACUAAACAGAUGGGCCGAUCGGAAUAGAGCCACAAAUUCAAUUCAACAGACUAUAGUGUCUUUCUUCCAAAUCUUCCCUGGUUCUAUUUUUUUUUCACAAAUCCUAGACCAUAAUUUCUUAAACCUUUAUUGGAAGUCUAAGAAGUCGGGCUAUAUUAUCACCCUCCAUGUCGUACAUGUUUACUAAUUGAGUGAAGGUGAUAGCUUCUAGUAAUCCUUCAUUGAGUUAAUGCUGACUAAUUGAAUUUUCAGGCAUGAAGCAAAGCUUAUUAGGAGAAUUGUUGAGAAGAAUAUUAGGGAAUUGCUUCCUAGCACAAAUGAAUUGCACGUGGCCAAAUACCCGGUUGGAAUCGACUCUCGUGUUCAACCGAUUAUCAAAGAUCUUUCAAGUGGUGGAUUAGAUGACGUUAAAAUGGUUGGAAUUUGGGGGAUGGGUGGAUUGGGCAAAACAACUGUUGCCAAAGCCAUUUAUAACAAAAUUCAUCAUAGCUUCCAAUUCAAAUUCUUCCUUGAAGAUGUUUGCCACCAUGGUACAAGCCAACAUGGUCUGCUCUGUUUGCAACAAAAAUUUAUUUCUGACAUCUUACAACAUGCCAACCCUCAAAUUAUUAGUAGCGUUGCUGCAGGGAUCACUGUUAUAAGACAACACCUCCAACGUAGAAGGGUACUUGUCAUUGUUGACAAUGUAGAUAAAGUGGAGCAACUAAAUGCAAUAGCUGGAAAUCGUGAAUGGUUUGGUCCAGGAAGUAUACUUAUCAUAACAACAAGAGAUGAGCAUAUACUAAAUCAACUGAGAGUGAAAAUGAGAUAUCCAGCUUGGGGAAUGAAUGAAGAAAAAGCUCUUGAGCUUUUCAGUUGGCAUACAUUUGAAGAAGAAGCUCCUGAUGAAGAAUAUCUUGAAUUGUCAAAGAAGGUAGUUUCUUAUUGUGGGGGUCUGCCGUUAGCACUCCAAGUUUUAGGCUCUUCUCUUAUUGGCAGACCAAUAAUAGAGUGGGAAAGCUAUCUGGAGAAAUUGGAAAGAAUACCUGAAGAAGACAUUAUUAAAAAACUAAGAAUAAGCUUUGAUGGGCUAGGUGAUAUUGAGAAGGCUAUAUUCCUUGAUAUAUGUUUCUUUCUUGAAAUCGGCCUGGGUUAUGUGAACAAGGAUUAUGUCACAAAAAUAUUAGAUGGAUGUCGGUUAUCUCCAAUAAUAGGAAUCAGUGUUCUCCGUGAACGAUGCCUUAUAACUGUUGAAUGAGAUAUGCUGAAGAUGCAUGAUUUGAUUCGAGAAAUGGGCAAGACAAUCAUUUCUGAAAAAUCUCCUACUGAACCUGGAAGAUGGAGUAGACUGUGGAACCCUGAAGAUGUAAUAGACGUGUUGUCAAAUAAAUCUGUAAGUAGUUUCUCAAUAAAGUUUAAUAUUAGUGCUCGCUAAAUCAUAUCCUAAUGCAACUGCUUACAUUUUAUAAUAUUUAGAAAUAUAUUUACAAGUACAAUAAACCUUCACGUGGAAAUAGAAGCAAUUAAAUCGAUUUCCAACCGAUUAUAUGACAAUUGUUUGUAAGUAAAUCAUUUUUUAGACCCAAAUUACCCUUUUAUUAUUCAUCAUAUGUCCUUUUGUUUACCUAACAGGGAACUGAAGAAAUUGAAGCACUUUCUCUAGAUUUGCCAAGCUCUAAAAAAAAGGCUAGGUUCAGGACAAAAGCAUUUGUCAAUAUGAAAAAACUGAGAUUGCUAAGGCUCAACUAUGUAAAGCUCACAGGAAGCUUCAAACAUUUUCCGAAAGAGUUGAGAUGGUUGUGCUGGCAGGGAUUCCCUUUCAAGGACAUUCCCAAGCACCUUUUUAAUCAGCCUAAACUUGUUGCUCUUGACCUGCAGUUCAGCAAACUCAGAAAAUGGACGAAUUCCAAGGUACAAUCACCCCUAGCAGGUUAUAAUUAAUUCCCACUCUGAUUUUAUUUUUAAGCCAUAUUCUUCUUGGAUUUUGAAUGAUAUUUUCUUUUGGGUUUCUGCAGC